rnacentral:lncRNA from 1 species
CACAACCAUCGCCCCUUUUCGUUUACUGAAAACUCACUACAAACAAACAAACAGCACCAUAAAACCCAAAAGCAAAUAUUUCUUCCAAAUCAACAUCCGCCGGCUACUAAACACUUUAAGCAUCUGCAACUUCCGGUGACUCUCCCGCCGCCAGUAGCAACUCUUCCUCUUCAAGUCCAACCUUUCUUUCUCCCAUCUCUCCUUCAUCCCCAAUGCUGUUCGCCUCUCCCAAUGACUUUAGUGCCAAGUGUGCUGCCUUCUGCCCUGAUAUCAUCAUCGCCCCGAACGUUGGCCCCUAUGAAUGGCACAGUUUAAGACUAAUAAAUAUGGGUAUAACGAAAUCUUUCGGUGGUAGCAUCUAAUGCAGAUAGCUACCGGAGUAAACAAGUUAGUAGUGAUAGACCCAGAUAAACUCUGAAAAGUGUAAACUCAUCUAAAUGCUGCUAUAUUUUACUGUAUCAUGAUUAUUAAACGGUCUAAAGCAAUAAUCUCUCUCUAGUUAAUUUGUUUACCAUUCUUGGAGCUCCAUCGAUCUCCGCAACCUCCAUGCCGGUGACAAUCAUGCCAGGAACGACCUCUCGAGUGAAUCGAACAAUGGCAUCCUCAGCAGUGUUCAUGUCAAGGGCCUUCAUUCCCGGGACACUAUCAAUCAUGCCGAUGCUCUUGAGGCGCUUGACUCCGGUAGCGCCAAAAGGUCCAUCGUGGCCACAAGAGCUCACAACCACCUUAGCCUCCAUCACAUUGGGGUCCAUGCAGGACUGCGUGUCAUGGUUCAUUGACACAAGAGCCCAGUUGGUGACAACACCGCCAACUCUGCCGCCCUUGACAAUCAAAUCCUCUGCCGCCACGGCGUUGAACAGCUUCACGUUCGGCCGGGCCAAGAGCUUGCUCAUGAUCGUCGACGUGAACAGAGCCGCGUGCUUUAUCACGACAUAGUCGUCUUGCUCGUCAUACUCCACACCCACCUCAUCCAAGAACAAAUGAGCUGGCUUACGAACCACCUAUCAAACAUUAAAUUUAACCAACAUCAAUCAGAUGAACAAGAUCAGAAUAUUUGUCUGCGAUGAAAAUUAAUCUAAUUUUUUAGGGGAUCACAAGAUCUGUAAACUAUUUCCCCUCAAAUUAAUGAUUAUGAUAUUAGUUUCUGGGUUUCUUUAUUUCUGAUCUCUAUUAAAAAGAAAUGAUUUUUUUUAGUCCAAAUACGGCAUGCAUGAAAGCUGAUUGGGUGAUUUUCAAAAUUUUGGUAUUUUCAAGAAAAGAACAAAACAUAAAAUAAAAACAGAGCAUCCAUUCAAAUUUGGAAAGUGAACUUGUUACCAUAGCAGAGAAGAGUUGGCCGCCGAGCCAUGCACCGCCACCGGGGCUGACGGAUUGUUCGAUGAUGGCAAUACGAAUAUUGGGGUUUUUGCUGAGUUCGUAAGCGCAAGAGAGGCCGGCGGAGCCAGCGCCGACGAUGACAACGUCAGUAUCAGCGUAGGUGAUCAUAUCGGUCAUGUAUCGACGGGUCAUCUCUCGAGAGACAAUAGAUUCUCUGAUAGGGUUGAAUUUGAAUUGGUUUAAAUCGUAGGGAGGCUGAGAGGCGGAGGCAGAGAUGGUGAGGGACGUGGCGGCGGUGGAUUUGAGGCGGAGAGAAGAAGGAGAGGCGAGAGGUGUGCCAUGGAAAGAGGAAUCAUGAAGUAAAGAAGGUUUUUGGAGCUUGGUGGUGAGAGUGGAGGCAAUGGAAGCCAUUUUUGAAGCAGAGGAAAACAGAGGAGAUUGUAGUUUGGUGUGGGGAAGAAGAGGGGAAGGAAGAAGGGUUUUAUAGAGGAUAUUGAAGAAUGUAACAAUAUCUUACACGCUUGCAUGUAUGAUGCAUACAUUACCUAUGCAUGUAUUUCAAACAUUGAUGCAUAUAAUCGAGAUUUUCAUUUAUCCAUGUAUUUCUCUUUUUACUUUUUUUAACAUAUGAUAUAUUAAACAUAGGUUUAGCAAUAAGUAACUAAAAUUAGUGUUAUUGUAAUAAAAUUACAUUAAUUUUGAUCAUAUUUACUUACACAUUUUACAAAUGUCUUAUCCAAAUAGUUCACUUUAUGUUGUCUUCUUACUAUUGCUCUUAUUAUCAAGGGUCAACAUAUUUAUAAUUCUCUUCUUCUAAUAGUAACACCAUAAUAUCCCCUAAUGAGUUGCAUGUAAUUUCAAAUGCAUUUAGAGAUUGGUCAUCUUAUCUCUAUAAUUAGAUUGCAUUACAAAUUUGUUUGUGAGGACACCAUUUUUUCUACAAUUACAGAAUAAAUGUAAACAACAAACCUAAUUAAAUGAGACACCCUUUUCAAAUUCUCGUUUGAUUGGUUACAUUUUCCGAGUGUAUAGUCACUCUAAUUUUAUACUGUUGCAACCAAUCCAAAACCAAAUCAAAUUAAUUGACUUUAUUAAAUAGAGAACCAAAGAUGCCCAAUAGAAGAUAGAAUCUUUUUUUUUUUUUUUUUUUUUUUUUGGGUUUCUAACCAAUGGAGUCUUCUUUUCUUUCAACUUUUACUUUGAAUGGGUUACCUUUUUUUACCAUUUUUAUAGAUAAUUAUGAAAAAAGAAGUAUCCAUUGGCAUAAUAUUUGAGUUUAUUAUCACUACAGUUUUCAAGCGAUACGCUUUCUAUCCAAAUUGAAAUGGUUGGAUUUUGAUUGAUUUCUUGAUAAAAGUUCAAACCAAAAGAAUAAACUUUUUUAUUAUCUCUAAAUAAUAAAAAAAAAAAAACCCCAAUCAAAACAAGAAAUGAACUUGAUUGAAUUUGAAUUUGUUUUGUUUUUAUUUUCUUGAACUCGAGUGUAAGGAGUAUCCAAAAAUUAGGGUAAGAAAAGUUCAAAUAUUUGUUAAGUUGGGAAGAGAGAAAAUAUCUGGAAGGGGACACGUGGGAAGAAGAUAGGAAAUGAAGGGCUGAGAAUGAGGUGAUGGUGUUGGACACGCGGCAUCCAUGGCAGCCAUUUGUUAUUUCUUUUCUUUUUCUUUUGCCAAAAUGAGAUUUUUUUUUUUCUUUUUCCCAAUAAUAUGAUAUGUUUGUUGAUUUGCAAAAUAUGGAUUUGUGAUUGUGAAUCAUGAUAUGUCCGUUUCUUUCGUCAAGAUAUUUCACAUAAUCUUGUAAAAGAAAGAGAUGUUUAUAUAUAGGCCACUCAUUUUGCUUUUUACUCUUUAAACCAUUGCUACACAUUUUAAUGCGUCUUUUCAAAUAAUAAUAUUUAUGUUUAUUAAUCAUUGAUAUUUUUUUGUAUCUACUUUAAACAAGAUUAAGUAUAGAGAAAAUACAUUUACAUAAGGAAAUAUUUACAAAUUAGGAUCUAAAUGUAUUCUAUUUCCCUAAUUUAAACAACUAUAUAAUUUACGAUCACACUCUUUCUCAAACUCAAGGCGGUAAUGUAGCAAUCAACUUGAGUUUGUUAACCAAUUGAAGAAAAUGGCUAGAAGCCAAAGCUUUAAUGAAGAUAUCAACUGGUUGUUCAGUGUCGAAAUGGAGUGUAAGAGAAGAUUGGUGCUUCGAAGAUUAUGACAAACAAAAUGAUAAUCGUUUUUAAUAUGGUGGGUACUCUCGUGGAAGACAUCAUUGUGAACAAUAUGCAUGGUAUUAUAAUUAUGUCUUUAUACCCUUCUCUCGGCUCAAGCCUUUACCACACUCUUUUGUCAAGUUGCAGUUGUGCAGAGAAAUCUCAACGCACUUAGUAGUUACUAUGAAUUUCACUACGCAUAAUGUGUCUUCCAAUGCUAGAUCACAUAAAACGCAAAGGGUAUUCUAUACCAAAUCACAUAGUAGGUAUGAGAGACAUUUCAUACUAGAUCACACAACAAGUAUGAGUCAUCCUAUUCAAUAUCACACAAUAUGAAUAGGGCAUUAUACUCCAGAUCACACACUAGAAAUAGGGCAUCUCAUCUUAGAUCACACAGCAAGGACAAAACAUUCUAUCGCAUAGGGUACAAAAAUUAUCUUUUUCUAGGAAACAUUGAUUUCUCAUUUUCAUGUAAUACUAGCAUCAUCAAUAGCACAUGCCACAUAGUUUAACGUAAUUGCCUUAAAGGGACUUAAAGAGAUUGUUUUCAAGCAUUUCUUUUCAUUUGAAGGUUAUUCGAUAAGAUACUUUAUUAUGUACUCAAUCACCUUUUAUUAGUUUCAUAAUGAACCAAAUUCAUACAUAAGUCACACAUGUUUAUGGGAGUUGAAAAAGUAUAAGGAAAUCCAUGUAAACAAAUUUGUAAUAACGAUAGUUUUAAGGGUUCAAACAUAUUAGAAAUCCCUUUAUAUAUUUGAAAACAUUUGCAAGGGAGGAAAACCACUCACUGCUGCAGUGAGCUAGCUCUUCCUUCUAGCUUCCUUGACCAAGAGUUCUCCUGUGCUUUUCAGAUUCCUUGAAGGAAUGAGUUUUUCCUGCACCUUGAGACUUUGGUUAUCCUCCCCGUUCUCUCUUAAGAAACUUAAGGUAAAAACGUCUUCAGUUCGGUCUAAAAUCCUCAAUUUAUAUGUCUCUCUGGUGAAUUUUUUCAUGUCGAAAUGAUUACGCUUUACCGACGGUGAGGAGUGGCCUAAUCUCGAAAUGCCAUGUAUCUCUGUCCAAUCCUUAUCCUGAUCUAGAUUGGGUGGCGAGUCCAAUCAAUCAUCGACCUACUAACAUUAGGGUCACAUCACUGUUUCUUGAUGAGGUAGGUCAGAAUUGUCCAACUGUUCGACGCAUAACCUUCUUUGCAUGGGGACUUUCUAUUGCAUGAUCCUUUAGCGAGGCAUGGUUUACUAUCAGAAGUCUCUUUGCAAAACAUUCUUACCGCAAGGGAUUCCUUGUAUUGGGGGUACGCAAUCAGGGCCUUACACGCGAUUAGACAUUUUCCUUUAAAACACUAACCUUAUCUUCUUGGAGUGCUCAAUUCUUUAUCGCUUGACUCUCUUCUCGAAAAACAAUAGAACAUUUACUUUACCUCAUACGGUUGUCUAGUCAUCUCAUACAAACAUCCAUCCUUUCAAUAGAACACCUACUUCAUCGCAACAACACUUAGGUGCAAACACUUCUCCUCGAGUUACUACAUAGGACAUCUAGUUCUUUGCGUUAAAUGCAUGUUUCUUCUUUCCUAGCUAAUCAUCGCCUUGCUUCAAGGCAAUAGUUACUAUAAGUAUCUCUCGUUGUGUCACCUCUCCUUAAAGGCACCCUUCAUCGCAUAAUGCUUUUUACUUACAUUUAACUAAAAUGACUCUUAUUAACAGGGCUCCUCUUCAACAUGACUCACUUUCUCCAGAUUAGAGCCUCAAGUGGACUAUUGAGGUACUCUCAUAUCCGUAAGGAUCCAUGGAAGUCAUGAUAGUUAUAAAGUAGCAUUAGCAGAAGCCCAAUAUUAUGAUUUAGUGCUGGAAAAGAAGACAACAUUUUGCUUUUUACCCUACCAUGAUAUUAUGGGAUUACUUAAAUAGAAGGAAUAAAUGAUGGUGGAGUGUCGAUCAUUAGGAUCAUCAACCCAAUCAACAUCAAAGUACCCAGAUAACACCAGAGGUGUCGAGAAGAGAAAUGAAAUCUAUGUCUCAAAGUACCUUUGAGGUAGUGAAAAAUGUUCCAUCAACUUACUAACAAUGUGCACAACAUAUGCAACGUUAGGACGAAUCACUAUCAGAUAAAUGAGGAUGCCAAUAAGUUGCCUCUAAAGAUUGAUAUCAUCAAGAGGAAUACCCUCUUACGGUGUCAAGUGGACAUUGGGAUCAAGAAGUGUUGGUGUCUUGAUGGAGUAAAUGAUACGGAGCAGGCUAAUAGAUCAGAGACAUUUGGCUUGAGAAAACAAGUAACCAUCAAGACAUGUUGAUACCUCAAAAACAAGAAAGUAAUUAAGAGAGUUUAAGUCUUUCAUUUGAAUAACUAAGAUCAUGAUAUCUACCGUUGCAACACUAAGAUAGCCCGAGGAUCAUCACCACUGAUAAUCUUGUCCAAUACCAUGAAGAAAAAUUAGAGAAUUUAUGACGGAAGAGUUUACAAGUUUUUUUUUACAAAAUGUAGUUCCAAAUUAUUGUAUGAAUAAGUGCUUGCGAAAAGAACUUCUAAUUUUUUGGAGGGAAAGCCGUUUUCUUCAAAUAAGAUGUCUUGAAACUUGUGGUUUGUUAACAACAAACAUAUUAUAUUUACAUAGUAAAGUUUUUAAAAGGUUAUUAAAUAAAAUUGUUAUUGAACAUGAAUGAAUUGCUUAUUUCAUAAUAGAAAACCAUAAAUCUAAUAAACUAAGAUCUAUGGUUAUGAGUACGAGUACUUGAACUUUAUGUAAUAAUGUAAGAAACUCCCAAUGAAGUGAGAACUAUGUUGGGUGUUGGCCUCAUCUUCUAACGGGAGAAGUCGUCCAGAAAUGGAUUGUGAAAUUUGUGAUGGAGACAACUCCCAAUGAGCCAAAGGAUGCCAUUGGGAACUCGUCCCAACCCUCGACGACAUUCAUUAAUAAGGCGAAGAUGAUAUGAACUGAUUUUGGCUUGAUCCAGGUAGGUCCAAAAUGCUAGAUAUUUAUUAAUUGAUUAACUAGUUUCUUGAUUGAGUCUAAUGAGUACUGUGUAACUAAUAGUAAUAGUAAUGAACCAAUCCUAUAGAUUAAAAUCAAGUAGGUUUUGCAUGAAAAUCCCAUAAUUUUAUAACAUUAUCAAAAGCUUUGAGUUGAAAAUGGAUAGUAGGAAUAGAUAUGUUAUCAAUCCAAGUGAUAAUUUGGUGAUUCUUACUGUCUCAAUCUUUUCGUCAUUUAACAAACAUACUAUCAUCUUUCUUGUCCAAUGUAGUUUGUUUAGCAACAUCACCAAUGAAAAUUUUCCGUAGUCUAUGUUCAAUUAAAAAAAAUUCGUUUGAUGGGUUCAUGCAUUUAAGAUAAUUGGUCCCAUCAACAACAGUACUAAUAGAACAAAAAAUGUGAUUUUUUUCAUUAAGGACUGAACAUAAAUUAACCACCAAAAUACACAACAAGAUUGAAAACAAACAAAUCUAAGUUAAAUCACAACGAGCAGAGACUAAAGUGCCAAUGAUCAGAAUAGGUGCAGGACCAGUUAGAAGCUGGAAUGAGUAGACGUAGAAUAUGUUUAGAUAGUUAUGAUAUAUUAUUUAAUUUAAACACCAGGUGUUUGUGAUUAUAUUUAUUUUUUCACUGAAAAGACACCAUCAUAUGAUUGGAGAUAUUUUCUUUUCACUUAUAUACAAUCAAUUAAUGAAUGAAAAAUAUGGUGUUAAUUAACAAGGUAUUAGUUGUGAAGUAUUAAAUAAUGGUAAAAAUUGAAACAAAUUUGUUUUGUAUUUUGGUAGAAGAGAUAUUAUUAAAUUGAGAAGGGGUAUAUCUGCUAUCACAGUCAUGAAAAAGAGAGAAAUUAAAGUGGCGAUGGGUAGCUACAUCACAUCUCAACUUGCUCCCCUCCAUCCACUAUUUUUCGUCUUCUUUCUUCUUCGACGUGAGGAUGAACUAUCAUUGGAUUUAGAGGUGGUCCAUACAACUUCAAGAUUUUUUUGGUACCAAAAUCACUUUAUAAAUUAUAGUCUAAACCAUGUUACUCUACUUUUUUUUUUUUUUCUAACAUCUCCCUCCUUUCAACAAUAUUUUUAUUGUAUCUUACAAAAAUAUAGAAGAAUAAAAUAUCACUAAUCUACUUACAAUAUAAAUAUAAUAGACAAUAGAUAUGUAACGAAAUAUUUAUGGAGAAUUAUUGUCAAUUGCAAACGUUGUGAAAAUAUUUAGAAAGUUUAGCAAGAUCUAUAUGUGAGAUUUUUCUAUAUUUUUUAAGUAUUUUUAUUUAUUUUGCUAUAUUUGAAAUGAAUACAAGGUUUAUUUAGUGAUUUAAAUUAAAUUUUUUUAUUUUUAUAGUUUUUCUAGAAAUGUUCAACCAUAUAGACUAAAUUUAUGUAAAAUUAGCACUUUCAUAUUUUUGUAGAUAUCAACAUUUUAAUCCUUCAUUUUAAGCAUGAGAUUUAACUAAUCAUGUAUCUAUAUUUUAUUAUUUUAUGUUCUAUUUUAGAUUUGUACUCUCUUCUGCAUUUUCAAUAAAUCAUAAAUUAGUCCUAGUUUACUAUAGUAAAGCUAAUUUUUUUAAAAAAUAAUAUAGCAAAAAAAAAUUCUCUAACCAAUGCAAAAAAAUCCAAAAUAUCUAGCUUACUUCUCUCAACCAUGAUCAUUGUCAAUACCUAAUAGACAUUGAUAGUCUAUUAUUACUAUUUAUGAUAGUCUAUUACUCUAGAGUGUCUAUAACUGAAUAGUUGGUUGUUAAUAAGAAAGUUGAUGAUGAUUGUUCUUAAUCUUAUGCUCCUUAAUUUGGUUUUAAGGAAUUAGUUGUCAUUUAAUAUUUAUUGAAAAUAUAUAUUGUUAUUGGGAGAGAGCAAUUUUGAAAGUAUUCUCUAGACUUAAGCAUAUUAAUUUCUUCUUACUCGAAAAGAUAAAAGAAAACAUGUGUAUUUGAAUUAUCUUAAAAACAUUAAGAUCUAGGGAUUAAAAGAAUGCAAGAGCUUGCAUUGAUGGUGGUACACAUGUGUUCCCUACACCUCAAAAUCAACCAUCAUCUCAAGUAGCUCAAAAGGAAAUUAAAGGUCGAAGCUAUAGAGUAGCAAGAAGGAGCUGAGUAUUAAAUCAUUUUGGGUUGUAUAUAUACAUAAUAGAAAUCACUCCAACUCAAUUCAGAAGACGUUUGAAACCAAGAAUUUCUAACCUAAAUUUCAUUAGCUUAUUUGACAUCAUUAGUCCGCCAUCUAAAGUCAUGGCUUAUUCAUCUAUAAAUAUAAGCUACCUACAACUUUUGAGUUGUAUAACAAAAUUUUAAGAGAUUAAGGGAUCAAGUUUAGAGAUUAAAAUUGAAUAUUUUUUAAAGUUUAGAGACCAAACUAAAAUAAGAUUCAAAGUUCAAUAGGGGAAUAUCAAAUUUAAACCAAACUAAAUACGUUUUUUACAUACUGAUUUGUAUUUAUUUUUUAAAUAACCAAAACAUUUUCAUAGUGGGUUUGAUGUAAACCAAAUUGGAGAGUUUUACUAAUGUUUAAAAGUUGUUAAUAUAAGAAGAAAAGUACUCUAUUUAUAGCAAACUGUUAAAUGAAAAUUUUGAGUAAACAAGUAUUUACUAUUAUUUUAUUCAACACAUACAUUUCCACAUUGCUAAGAAGUCUCCUUUAUAAACUCAUAGAUCCGCUCAUGGGUUUGGGCCCUAAAGACACUCAAGUUUUGGAAGGAGUGAGUAGAUAGUUAAAUGUAGAUAUGCUUAUAUCUCCACGUGCACCACCACUGCCGUCUGUCGAGUGAGGCGAGGAGGAAUAAAAUAAUAAUAUAUAUAAUUUUUGGUAAAUUAAACACUUUCCAAAGUCGAAAUAAUAUCCAAAUUAAAUGGUAUUUAUCAAUCAAUUUUCUUUUGUGUUUUAUAACCAUUGGUUGCCUCCACACUCACUAUAUAUAUCAAUCUAAUUCUUCUCUUCAAUAUACAGAAAUUAUAUAUAUUAAUGAUGAAUUGGACUCUCUUGAAUUCAAUAGAACUUGGCACCUAGUUGACUUACCUGACCUUAGCUGCAAAGCAAUAGACUGUAAAUGGAUUUUAAGGAAGAAACUCAAACCUGAUAGAUCAAUAUAUAAGUAUAAGGCUAGACUAGUAGCAAAAGGUUUUAGGCAGAGGAAAAACAUAGAUUUCUUUGACACCUUCUCUCCAACCACUGAUUUCUAUAGUUUUCAUUAACAAUCUCUUAAUACAUCAAAUGGAUGUUAAAAACUGCUUUCCCUAAAUGAUGAUUUAGAAGAAGAGAUUUAUAUGGAACAACCUUAAGAUUUCAUAGUUCACCGUUAAGAAUCUAAAGUUUAUAAAUUAGAUAAAUCCUUCUAUGGCCUAAAACAAGCUCCUACGCAAUGACACGAAAAGUUUGACAACUUAAUCAUUUCCAAAGGAUUCAAAAAAAUGAGAGUGACAAAUGUAUUUACUAUACGACUGAAGAUAGAUUAUGCACUAUCAUAUACUUAUACGUAGAUGACAUGUUAAUAUUUGGAUCAAACCUACACGUCAUAAAUUAUGUAAAAUCAAUGUUGAGCACAAACUUUGACAUGAAAGACUUAUAAGAAGAUAAUGUGAUCCUAGACAUCAAAAUUACCAUAACUAAAAAUGAAAUGUUCUUAGAUCAAUCUUAUUACAUAAAAAAGAUCCUAAAGAAGUACAAAUACUUCGAAAGCAAACCAGCUUGUACACCCUAUGACUCUAGUGUUAAAUUGUUCAAAAACACUGCUGGCAGUGUUAACCUAUCAGAGUACGCUAGUAUCAUAGGUAGUUUGAGGUAUGCUGUUGAUUGCACUAGACCAUACGUAACUUACGCUGUAGGAUUACUAUGUAGGUUUACCAGCAAAUCUAGUCUAGAACAUUGGAAUGCUAUAGAAAGAGUAAUGAGAUAUCUUAAGAAAAUACAAAAUAUAAGAUUACAUUAUCAAAAGUUUCCCGCUAUACUUGAAGGUUACAACAAUGUUGAUUGAAACUUUCUCUUAGAUGACUCAAAGGGUACAAGUGGCUAUAUUUUUAAUAUAGCAGGAGAAACUGUUGCUUGAAAAUCCAAGAAACAAACAAUAUUAGCCUAGUCAACGAUAAAGUUAGAGAUGAUAGAACUAGCUACUGCUAGUGAAGGAGCAAACUUGCUAUAAGAGAUUCCCACACGGGAAAGAUUGGUACCGGCAAUACUAAUCCAUUGUGAUAGUACUACAACUAUCGCAAAAGUUCAGAAUCAUUAUUAUAACAGUAAGAGACGACAUAUACGUCGUAAACACAUUAUCAUUAGAGAUUUUCUCACUACUGGUGCAGUGAUAAUAGAUUAUGUUCGAUCUGAUGACAACUUGGCUGAUUCUUUGACGAAAGGACUAGCAAGAGAGAAGGUCUUUAAAACGUCAGAAAGAAUGAGACUCAAAAUUUAUAGAAAAUUUAAUUACUUGUGAGGUAAACCCAACUUGAAAGACUGAUCCCAAGAAACAAGUUUAAUGGGUAAUAACUGAUCACAAGCAAUAUGAUGAAAAUCAUGCUAAAAUAUUAGAAGUUCCAUUCUUAUGAUUGAAUAAUUAGCAUGACAUCCUGAAGUGUAUGAGAAGGCUAAACUUUGUUCUUAAUGAAAUAUAUACUUGAUAUCAAGUAAGGUACCUAGCUACAUAAGUACUCUUGAUAGCUUCACCUUUGUGAAUGUGGAAGUGAGAGUUGCUUCCUUUGGAAUUUUGGACAAAUUCCUAGAACAUUCACUAAACCGGGUUAUACGUGCAAGGCCAUAAAUCACAAGCUAUUUUAGAACUUCACUCGAAUAAUGUUGUGUGGACAAUAGUAUUAGAAGUAAAGUUCAAAACUACAAGUUACUUUACAAUACUCUAAACUGUUGUCACUACUUAAAGGUUCAAGUCAUUAGACACCUUUACUUAAGCACAAUAUUAUAGAGAUAGACACUGAUCGAUGGAAACGUUUUAAAACAAUUUCAAGUGGGGGACUGAUAGUAUGAAUAUUUCAAGUGGAAAAUUGUUAAAUGAAAAUUUUGAGUAAGCAAAUAUUUAUUAUUAAUUUAUUCAACACAUGCAUUCCUGCUAGUAAUGUGGAUGUCUACUUUGUAAACUCAUAGAUCCAUUUAUGGGUUUAGACCCUAAGGGCACCCAAGUUUUGGAAGGGGUGAGGAGAUAGGAAAAUAUAGAUAUACUUAUAUCUCCACGUAUGCGCACCCCGCCAUUGUUGGGUGUGGAGGAAUAAUAUAAUAAUAAUAUAUACUUUUUCUAAACUGUUUUCUUAUUAUAAACAUUUUUGGUAAAUUAAACACUUUCUAAAACUGAAACCGUAUUCAAAUUAAAUGGUAUUUAUCAAUCAAUUUUAUUUUGUGUUUUAUGAUCGUUGGUUGCCUCCAAAUUUACUAUAUAUAUGAGUCUCAUUCUUCUCUUCAAUAUACAGAAACGAUUUCUCUCCCAAAAAAUUUCUUCUGAGCAUAUGAGUGUUUAUCUGAGUGUUGUGAAUUCUGAUUAGUUUUGAUAUAAAACUAAUUGAAGAACGAUGUAUUUUAUCAUGGGGACGUCGAGGCAAUCAAACUGUUUUGGACAAAGGAGCAGAGACGCAAAACGUCUUAAAGAGAGCGAGAUUCGCGACUCAACCAUUUUCUCAAAAGUUUUUGUUUUGUAGUUUGCGUUUUGACCAAGCGUUUGACCACUAGGCGUUUUGAUCAAUUGGCGAGAUAGUCAGUAAGCGAGAUAAGUUGAGGAGGUGAUAACUAGGCGACUUGGUCAGACGAGAUACCAGUACAUUACACGAGAUACAAGGCAAAGAAGCACGCAUUUUGUCUAGACAUUUUGCCUAGGCGUUAAGACUUCUCAUUGCAUCACUCCUUCGAGUCAAAAAGCAACAACACAAACUAAUCCUAAUCCUAAUUAAUAAAAGAAACUAAUCUUUAAUCCUAAUAAAUAAAAGAAACUAAGCCUAAUCCUAAUAGAUUAAGGAUUUUAUCAUAAUAUCCUAUUCCUACUACAUCAUUCUAUAAAAAAAAAAACUCGUCCUUAAGUUUUAAAAUGAAAAUGAAUGUGAAAAUAAUAAGUAAACUAGUCGAAUAAUAUCCCAAUUUUGUGAUACCUAACAAUCAAUUCUAGAACUAAUACGAUAAAGAAGAACUCCAUUGUCAAAGAAUAUGCAGAUUUAUCAAAAAAAUAAACUAUCACUCAUUUUGUAACUGUGAUGAAAGUUCAAUUGUGGUUGAGUUUUUAAUUCUUCAAUAGGUUUCAAUUUGGGUCAAAUAGAUUAUAGUAAGAGAUAACGCGUAAAUAGCAAAAUAGUAAAUAACAAACUAAAAUGUAGCAAAUUUAAGAAAUAUUAAGAUUUAUAUCAAAAACGCCGGUUGCUGAUUUUUUUUUUUUUACUUUUUUAUACCCAAUUAUACUCUUUUAUAUAAGACAGUUUAUUUCUCACAUAUAUACAAUGUAUUUGAAUAGAUCAAAAAAUGAGACAGAAGAUCACAGAUUCACUAGCACAAUGUAUUUGUUAACAACAUUCAACUUUGGUAAGUCUUAACUAAAUAUGAUAUUUUAUUGCUGAAGAAGAUUGCACUAACAUCUCUUAAAAAAUAUGGCUGUAAUUUCUUUUAGAUUUUCGGAUGCUUAGCAUUUAAAUCAAUCAAUUAACAAUUUAUUUCUAUAAUUCAUAAUAGAUAUAUUUAAUAACGAUUUGAAUUCAAAUUUUGGAUAAUACCCCUAAAAUAAUAGUAAAGAUAAAUUCAAUAAUUUGGAUUCUUUAUAUUUCAUACUAUUUAUCAAAAUUUUAUUAAAUAAUAUAUAAUACAUAUUUUUAAUAACAAUUUAAAUUCAGAUUUUAUACCAUCCGCUAAAAUUGUCAAUUUGAAUUUAAAUGUUACAUAAUAUCCCUAAAAUAUUGGCGAGGAAAAAUUCUUAAUAACAAUUUGAAUUUAAAAAUUAAAAUUAAAAUUGUUUAAUUUAAAAUUUAACAACUUAUAUUUAAAAAAAUAUAUAAAACAUUUAUUAAAUAAUACAUGAUACAUAUUUUUAAGGGGAAUUUUUAAAAUAGUAGAUUUUACAAAAUAUUUACAGCUAUAGAAAAUUAUAAUUCUAUCACUCAUAGUCAUUUACAAAAUUUUGUUAUAGCUCAUAAAUAUUUUAAUUUAUUUUGUUAUUUUAAAAAAUGCUUCUAUUUUUAAUAAUAGUUUGAAUUUUAAAAAAAUUAUUCGUGAUAAUUUCUAUUAUCAACUUAUUUUGGUUGAUUUUUAAUAACAAUUUAAAUUUAAAUUUUACAUCAACCCUCUAAAAUAAUGUAAAAAAUGAAUACACCAUUUUUAGGAUUUUUAUAUUCCAAACAAUUUAAUAAUAUUUUAAAUUCAAAUUUUAGAUCCCAAAAUAAUGCCAAUUACGAUUGUCCAUUUAUUUUUACCAAUUUGAUAACAACUUCAAUUUUCUUAAUUUAACCAAAUCAAUUUAAUUUAUUUUUACCAAUUUGAUAAGAACUUCAAUUUUCUUAAUUUAACCAAAUUGAUUUAUUGGUUAAGUUGGUCAGGUUUGAUUGUGUUGAUUUUCUAUAGAGUUACAAUGUACUUAUACAUACUUUCUAGAUUAGUUUCACAAUAUUUGACAUAAUGUAUAGCAUAUGUUGCUCACAAAAUUACAAUGUAAUUUUAUGCUUUUAAAUAAUGUGAUAAACUAGUCGUUCUAUAUUACGAUCACAUGUUCAAAUAUUAAUAUUUAUUUGCUCCUAUAAUAAUGUACUUUUGCAAUUCAAAACAGUUACCAUUAUAAUAAUGUACUUUUAAUUAAUGCGAUAAACUAGUCGUUCUAUAUCACGAUCACACGUUCAAAUAUUAAUAUUUAUUUGCUCCUAUAACCAUGUACUUUUGCAAUCCAAAAAAGUUACCAUUAAGAUAAUUUGUUACAAAACCAACAAUAAGAACUAUUUCCUAAAUAUUGACAUUGAAUCAUAAUCAUGGUUGUUUAAUUAACCGAACUUUAUAAUAACCCAUAGAAUUAAGAUUUUCCAAACAUAGUAUAUGUUGAGUAUGAAUGAUGUUAUAAACAACAAACUUGGGACACAAACAAAAAGUAAAAUUUUGGUCAUCAAGAUAUAGUAUCAUUCCAUUGGGUAUAAGAUAAUCAGAUAUUUCAAAUAGAGUGUAUUUGAAUAGCUCAAAAAAAGAGACAGGAUAUUAAAAAUAGCACGAAAACAAUGUAUUUUGCAAACAACAUUCAAAUUUGGUAGACUUAACUAAAUCUGUUAUUUUGUUGCUCGACAAGAUUGCAGCAACCUCUCCUAUAAUAAUGACAAAUAUAUCUACCAGAUUUUGAGGUUUGUUAUAUUUUAAACCAUUUAUUAGUAAUAUCAGUAAUUAUUACAAUUUCUUAAAUGACCUUAAAUAUAUUUUUUCCUCUCCCUUGUUUCUUUACCAAUUCAUUAAGCAUUAUAUCUUGUAAGUUAAUCACUAAGGAUAGUUUAAUUUUAACAAAUCACCAAUCUUAAAGACAUUUAAGUUGAAAAAUAAAUACUUCCAAAAUAUGUGUUGUUAAUAACAAUUUGAAUUUAAAAUUUUAUCAACCUUAAAUUCGUGGUUGAUGUCCCAAAAUAAUGGAAAACAUAAAUUCAACAUUUUUGGAUUAUUUAUAUUUUAAAAUAUUUAUAAAAAUUUGAAUUUAAAUACCUCAACAAUACAUAUUGUUAAUAACAAUUUGAAUUUAAAAUUUUAUGAUCCCCUAAAAUCAUGCUAAUUGGUUGGUUUUUAUUUUAAAAAACUAUUUUAUCGUGCAAAUUGCAUUGAAUAACUAUGUUGAGACAUUGUGUUUUUAAAUUACGUUAAUAUUCAUGUUUAUCUUCGUUAGAUGUUUUCUUUUUUGUGUUACAGUUUUUGUCAAAAGCUUUCAAAAUGGCUUUUAUGUUUAGGACAGAAUUGUAAUUAUACUUCAUCUCCUUCUUUAGGUCUUAUAAAUUAGAGAAAAGAAAAGAAGUAGGACAAAUAAGAAGAGGGGGCUGCAAGCUAAAAAAACACAGUAGAGAGAGUUUUUUCUAGCAAAAAAGAUUGAUAGAGAAGAGUGCAGUGCGGCGAUUUUCGGUGUUCCAACAUAAAGAGAGACGUUGGUCGACCGAGAGGAAGACGUCAGAGGUUUAGCCAUUGGGUUUUGAGGCAGACAAAAGCUAACGAUUUUGUGGCUUUACAACGGCUACAACGUUUGUUUCGAUAGCUUCGCGAUGGGUUUAACGACUGGUUAACUAUGGUUUUCGAGCUGACAGAGGUUGGUUUAGUCGUGGGUUCUUCUUGGGGCAAUCGACGCAAGUGACAAACAUAGUGAGAGAGAGUUUUUGUGCAAACAAGAGAGGAGAAAAGUACAAUCAACAAAGAGGAAAACAUCACAGUUUCAACGUCAAUGGCGAGAUGAACAUCUCAAAGUCUUUGGUCGGAGGAGGCGGCAAGAUGAAAAUCCUAAAGUCUCCAGUCAGAGGAGCCAACAAGAAGAAAAUCCAAGUAUGAAAACUUUGAUGGGUUUAAAGGAGACGAGUUGGAAGCUCCAAUAGAUUUUGAAAAAGUUUGAUUUUGAUAGGUGUUAAUUGUGUAUUGGGAGUUUGAUUUUAAUAAUUGGGUAUUUAUGGUUCUUUUAAUAAUUGUAUUUAUGAUUCAAUUUUUUCAGUUAGGUAGGAGCACUCGAGACAUUGUUAUAGCAAUUAUUUUUCCAUAUUUUUUCGAUUCGGUUAUUUUAUCAAUUUAAAUAAAAAUUUGUCAUUUAUUCAAAAUAAACCCAAUAUUUUUCUAUUUUUCUGGUCCGCCCUUGUAGUAAUAUUGAGUGGACUUCAAAAUUGAUCUAGGUUUGGAGAUGAUAGGUUGAGCUUGAGAAGACCAAAAUUUUGUUUGGAAUAAAUUGGAUCAUCUGGGUUGGGUUAAGUGAAGGAAAACUGCAGCUGAUGGAUGGAUUAUAUAUGAAACACAGUACAAUAAAUUCUCGAUCUUCCACCGCUAGUUUUAAAUCGUCAGAAGAAAUGGCAUCAGAGAUGUGGUAUCGUCCAACGCACCACCCUAACAUGCCUAAAUUACAAACUACUAGUUCACAUGCCUAAAUUACAUCACAAAAGAAAUAGAAAUAAUAAAUAUACGAAAGGCCAUUAAUUACAAAGAAUAAUAUACAGAUUAUUUUCAUAUAUAUAUGAAAAUAUUUUCCAAUAUCCCCACAAAUUGGUGAUUUGGUUUCUUUGUACGGUUGAACCAUUCUUGCCCCAUGUAGCUUAAUGUUAGACCGUCAAAUCUUUUGUUAGGAUUCCAACCUACCCAGAGGUACUCAAGAAUAAACAGACAGCUCAAGAACAACUAAUUAUGAAAAAAUAUUGUUAGAACUGAUGUCCAAAAGAAUUGUUGUUCCGUGACAAACCACUGUUCUAAAAACAAUUACGGUACAACCAUGGUACUAAACACGAUGUCGGUUGCUUUUCAAGGUUAACACAACUCUUCAACUUAAACGUAUACUUGUUGGAAUAAGGAAUAGAAUCAAGAAGCUAAAUUAUGCCAAGGGAUGAAAGUUGAGAUGAACCGACGAUAAUAAAAGGAGAAAAAAAGAAACGACUAGAAUAAUCCUAUAGAUAUGAUAAACAAAAAACAAAAAGGAGAAUAAUCCUAUCACUAGAAACACACUUUACUUUUACAAUUAGCAUGCAGUGAUAUUUAUACCCUCUACGUAGUACUAAACAGUUCAAUGUGUGGGACAAAAAUCUGUCUUAUCCUUUACUUAUGGGCAUAAGUCCAUAAAUCAUUUCAAUAAAUGCCCGCCAAGUGACUAUUACAACAACGUUAAGAAGUAAACAAAAGAAAACAAAAGUUUUAAGAAAUCUAUUCUGAGCUAAGAUAGGAGAUCAAGAUUAUGCAUCAAUAUAUUGUAAUGAUUUGAAUUGAUUGGUAGUGUUGCAAGACGACUAACAGAGCGAGUGAGUUACAAAGCAAGAUCUCAAAAUUGGGCAGCGAUCCUUCUCAUGCGUUUAAAACACGGGACUCAACUACUAUCUUCCUUGGACUCACAAAUGUCUUCUCUUCAGCCUUGACCCGAAUUGGGGCUUCAACUUCCACUCUUAGACUCUGCCCAAUAAGCAAACCCAUGAGUCCCCAUUUUUCCUUCUUCAUUUCCAUUGACGUUGUUCUUCUGUAAUGAUUAUAGCAACCUUUGCUUAAUUCACCUCCUCUGCCCAUAUAUAAGAUAAUAAGUUUAACAACCCCUUUUAACUUAGCUUGCCCCAAAUGAAAAACUCUUCAAAUAUUAAUCCUAUAAAUCACUAUCUUUCUUAAAUGAAAGAGUGGGAUUCCAGCAAUUCAAGCCUAUAACCCAGCAUGUGGCUAUGGGCCCAUAAUUUAUUUGUCUUCCUUAAAGAGUAACAUUGAGUUUCUACAAAUUGUAGUCCAUAUUCAAGCCCAACAUCCUACUCAAUUUUUCCUUUCCAUAUUCCUCCUCCAAAGUAACGCUUGUCCUCCCUCCCAUUUACAUUUUACUAAGUAAUAACCCACCUUUGGCUGCAUCAAAAUAGAAUAAUGGGCUGUGUUGUGAUUCUGUGAAGUUAAAUUCAACUCUCCCGCAAGCCCUUCGCAUUUGUUAAAACAAUAAAAAAAUUAGUUGUUUUUGUUACUUUGAACUACUGUAACUGAUACUUGUUUGAGAGUGAGUUAUUUUGUUAAAAACAUAAACAAAAUAACAGUUUUAAUUCUUGUAGCUUAAAAAGGAAGCUUAGUAGAAAAAGUGAUGUAAGAAAAACUCAUCUGUAUUUUUUUGGCUUUUUGAAAACAUUUUCAUCUUAAAUAAUCUGUUGAAUAAAAGUGUGCUUGGAGACUUUGAAGAGUUCAUGUAAGCAAAUUUGUUGAACAAACCAUAGUUGUAUGUUCUUCUCAUUCUCUUCGUGCUCCAUUGAUCUUUGGAAGGCCAUUGUUGAAACUCUCAUCCAUCUUUUCUCUCUUGGUAACAUGCAAAACAAAAGGAAGAAAAUAAUUAAUAUACCUAAAGGUAGAGAACGUAGGUUUUGUAAUAAGGGUCAACCAUAAGAAUAUCAAUCUACAAUUUGUCAUUUAGAAAAAUAGCAAAACUGUUUUUUUUUUUCUUUUAAAAAAGGGCAAAACGAAUAAAAAUACAAUAAAUAGAAAUAUAAUCCAAAAUGCCCUUAGAUAUAUAGAAUGCCAGCUACUUUCUAAAGCUAAAAUAAAGUCUAAUUACACUAAUAAAUUCUCGAACAUAAUUAUCCUUACAUGUCCAAUCAAACUUAGAAUCCUUUUAAUCUUCACUUUCUAGCACUCUUGCAGUCAUCUUCAUUUUCCAUUUUCUUUUUCGAUAAUUAUUCAUAUCAAAGUCUUCAAGUUACAUAUUUAAUCUUCAAAUUACAAUUCCAUUAUUCCAUCUUCACCAAGCAGGCAAAACCUAAUCUCCACCCUCCAUUUUGCAAGUUACAAUUCCAUUUGAAGUACUUCAUCCUGCAUUUUUAUCUUCUUGUAUUUAAAACAUAAGAUUUUAUUAACUUCAUAUUUUUCACCAUCUUAAGGAAAAAUAUUUAAUUUAUAUUAGUAAUAUUUUAUAUAGAUUUUAGAGCGGUUUUAUCUAAAAAACGCAACAUUUUUGGGAUAUUUUGUUGGGAUAAAAAAAUAGAAUAAACCAAAAUUCAUUUAAAAAUCCUGAACAAUAGUGUUCUCUAAUAUUGAUUUGAGGUCAAGAUACCAUCCAUUCAAGGUUUGGGAAGUAUAUACUCUUAAGACAACAUUCAAAACGAGGUAUGGGCAAUAUGAGUUUUUAGUGAUGCCAUUCGAUUUAACAAAUGCACCUACAGUUUUCAUAGACCUCAUGAACAAUAUUUUCCAUCAUUAUUUAGAUUAGUUUGUGAUAGUGUUCAUUGAUGAUAUAUUAGUUUACUCAAUUGAUAGGAAAGUCCAUUAGGAAAAUAUGAGGAUUGUUCGAUAGACAUCACGUGAUAAAUAGUUGUAGGCUAAGUUCAACAAAUGUGAGUUCUGGUUGAAACAAGUAGUGCUCUUAGGGCAUGAAGUUUCAACAAACGAAGUUAGUGUUGAUUCGUAGAAAGUGAAAGAUGUUGUCAACUGAGAGAGACGAACUAGUGCAACAGAAGUACAUAGUUUCCUAGGCCUUGCAGGAUACUACAACCAUUUUAUUGAGGAUUUCUCACCAUUUGCAUUACUCUUAACAACUUUGACAAGAAGAAUGCUAAGUUUGAGUGGUCGGAUAAUAUGAGACUUUCCUUUGACAAAUAAUCUCAUCUCCACUAUGUUGAUCUUUUUUAGAUGAACUGUGAGCUUCCUCUGGUACAACAUCCAUAAGCUCACUAAUACUCGAAACACACAGUCUUCUUUUCUUAACUAUGACUUCAUAUAUUCUCAACUCAAACUCUACCUCUGAGCCUUACUUUCAUGACUUUCCAAGUAUAUUAUGUAAGUUACUAUCCUCUAGUUAUCUUCUCACAAUCUCUACUACUAGAGAAGACCUAACCUGAAAUUAAGCUACAAGACUCAUUGUACUCUCUACAGUCAUAGCCCUAUUAAAGCCUCUUAACUCACUUAUCAAACUUGCUCGAAUGCCAUACAAGGCACUCUUUGGAAGUCUAGACUUCAUAUUGAAUGCAUUUGCUACUAUGUUAUUCUAUGGUAUUCUAUGGUACAGUCACAACUUAUAAUCAGUUCUAGCCAUCACCUCUAUCUUAAAUUAAACUCUUUGAUCAAAGAUAUACUUCAGACUCUUACCGAUAUGUAAAAAUGUGGCACACUUCUCAUCGAAUAAAUAAUUUCUCUAGAUUUUCAUUGCUAAAACAACUAGUGCUAGCUCAAGAUCAUGGUUAGGGUAAUUAUAUUCAUUGUUCUUCAACUGUCUUGAAGCUUAGCUAUUAACUUCCCUUCCUACAUAAGGGUAUAACCUAAUCCUUGGGCUCGAGGCGUCACAAUAGAUCAUGUACUCCUUCUCUAUUUCAUGAAGUGUCAUAAUAGAUGCUAUGACUUGAAUCUCUAUCAAAACAAGGCAUCCUACCUGAUGAAACCAGUAAGAAGCUGUCUUUUUGUAAACAUUGUGUGUUAGGGUGAAAGCAAGAAAAAAAUACUUCUCCAAAGCCCAACACACUACUAAAGGAAUCCUUGACUUCAUCCAUUUGGAUCUAUGAAGACUAUCCUCAACUCCAAGCCUAGGUGGCUCAAGGUACAUUUUAUCCUUUACUGGUGAUUUCUUUAGAAAAAGUUGGAUUUAUUUUCGAAAAACUAAAAACGAAGUCUUGAAAAAAAAAAUUAAAAUGGAAAUUGAUGAGAGGAAAACAAAAAGAAAAAGAUAUUAAAUAUCCUAGAACCUAUGAUGGUUUGGAGUUUUGUGGAGAGGAUUUCAGUGCUUUUUGUAUGAAAAAUGGAAUUACAAAACUUAAGACAAUAAGAUACACACCACAACAAAAUGGGGUGGUCAAAAUACUUACAAGAACUAUCGUGGAAAGAGUAACAUUCCCAUUAUCUGUUUCCUGUUUCCUAUUUCCUAUUUCUUGUUUCCUAUUUCUUGUUCCAUGUUUCUUCUUUUUUGAUAACAAGAUACAAGAAUGUGUUUGAUAACUAUUUCUUGUUUCCAGUUUCUUAUUUCUUGUUUUCUUAAUUAUUUCCUACAUUUGUCGACUCACAUCUAAUUCAAUUAAAUAUUAACAAAAAUAUAUGUCGAUAGUUAAACACUUCUUCUCUACCUUGAGGGCAAUGUCUCAUUUCUUUAAAAUCUACCUCACUAACUUUAACGAUAUUUACCAACAAUAAAUCAUUUUUGGAUUUCAACGGUAUUUUGUCAUUUGUAUAAGUUCUAAACAUUUUACACAUUAGCUUGAAUAUGAGAUUGAAAUUGAAAGAAUGAAACUUUCUAUAAAAGUUGAGAUGGAAAACAUCUUUAAUCCUUACAUUUAUAUUUAUACGAAAAAAUACUUAAUACCACCUUUGGUUUUAUAUAUAAAAGAACAAAGACAACCUAAUAGAAAGUUAAAAUGUUUGAAUUUAUACAAAAAUGGUGCUAUAUUCCAAAAUUAUGGUUCAAGAUUACAUUUUUUAAGCUCUUGAAACUCACCAAACAAAGAAGAAAAAAAAGCAAAAAAACAAUAUCCUCAUAUUUUCUUCUAAAAUGUUGGGCCAAACAGAUAAACUUUAGCAAUAAUUUUAGCAUAUAAACUUUAGAUAAAAGAGAAAGAGAACAAAAAGAGAGUCAAAAUCUAAGCAAUCCAACCUCAUUUCAACAUUUAUAAAACUUCAGAUUCAACCAAGAACUUAGCUAAUACAAGAUAAAAAAGAAUGGGAAAUAGAAUGGUAUACUCAGAUGACAAUGGAGAUUAUUAGGUUCGAUUCUGACAGUAAAGUCUCCUCAAUAGAUUUCAGAAGAGGAAGCUCUUUAUCCUCAUUGUAACCCUUCAAGUUCCCAAGAAAAAACUCAAUCGCUCUUUAUACGAAAGUGUAAAAGGAAAAAAACAAAUUUUUCUUGAAGAGUAAAUGGAAACGAGAGAGAAAGACAGAUUCGAAAAGAUCAAUUCUGCAUUCCAAUCUAUUGAGCUUGAUCUUUCAUGAAAUCAUCAAAGCCACUUGUUGUAUAUAAAACCAACAAAGGAAAAUCCAAAGGAAUCCAACCCGUAUGCAUCCUGAACUCGUUAUAUGGUAUGCGACGCGACUGGAGCAACCCCAACACCUCAAAGGAAACGCCAGAAUGCUCAUCAACUUAACUCUUUAAAAAAAAAAUGUACUUUAAAAUUUAGGCGACAAUAACAUCUUAACGCAGUGGAUUGAGUUAAACAACUUCUUUAUUAAUUCAUCUUCAUGCACUCUACAAUACAAUUUACACGCUCCUUAAAUAUAACAAAUAUAUAACAAUAAUCUUAAAACGCCUUGCACAGCUUCACAAUAUGGUAGUUCGCCCUCCUUAUUCCAACCUUGGCCUUACAAGCUGGUGACCUAAGGAAGGAAAAACUUUAAAACGUACGUAAAAACUUAAUGAGUGAUAGUUUUGGAAAACCUUUUUGGACAUAUAAAUACAUGAAAUUAUUUUCAUAAACACGACUUUCAUCACCUCAUUUCAUAAAACAGAAAUACUCAUUAGUCCUUCAUAUUCCUUUCCACCAAGAACAUGAACCAUUCUCAUGCAUAGAUUACUGUGAUGUCCUUUUCAUCAACAUCAUCCUUUGGAGAAUAUAUAUCCUAAUUCAUUUCUCGUUGCUCAAGCCGCUAAGCUCAAUAUGCUCAUUUUACGCAUCGGCCAACUUCACUCCACUAUGCAGUUCUUUUCUACAUGGUUGUCUUUGCUCCUUACGUCCACAUAAUAGUUAGUCCAUUGAGAGGAAUAAGACUAAUGCACACAACAUAGCACACAAUCAAUAACAAUAGGUUUACUUGAAACAAAACACAACUUUCUUAGAAAUCGUUUAUUUCAUAUGAAACGUUACAAGUCAGCUAGAAAUUAUAAGAAAGCUUUAAAAUCUUUAAACAAAAUCAUUCACAACACAAAUUCUGUCUUUAAAACGUGUGGAUUCCCAAAGACAUUAUUCUCGCCUAGUGAGUUUCCUCUUAGCAGAAUAAGUUCAAAUAUUUCAACAAAAACCCUUUUUACCAUAAACCUUUGUUCUUAUUUAUACUAAUCCCAACUUGGAUUGGUCAUCACUAAUUUCUUUAAGCUUGACAACUCCUACUUAAAGUAAUCCAUAUGCUUUUCAAACCAUGUGGAUUAGCUUAAGUACCAUUAGAAAAUUUUCCAAAAAUUUCCUAACUCUUCAACAUCUGAUCUUAUCUCACGCUUUUCCCUCAAAAUGCCUAUCAUCCCUUACUUGCAGAUUCUUUCCUCAUGCUAAGAUCUUCAUAAUGCGACUUAUCAAAACACCUAUUUUAUAAAGAUUUCUUCCUAUAUCAAAAUCCUUUAUUUAUUGGUCAUGUUGAUGAAAAGGAACGAGAAAUGUGAGACAGCUUUUAAGCGUCAAGUAAAGCUAGUUUUGUAGUAGUGAUGACUUCCAACAUUGCGUAGAUCCUUCCACAUAUGAGUUUCAAUUGCCAUCAUUUUCUGUUUUUCUGAUAUUUUCUUUAUUGUUUUCUUUUUCUCUGCUUUGAUAUUUGCUAGUCUUUUCUCCUCUUUUUCUCUAUUUGUUUUUAAUGAUUCAAUAAGUGUUUGUUGCAAUGUUCUAACCUACAGAUGUCCACUAGAUGGAACAGGAAUGAGGGGAUGUCACUCCCUAUCCCCGUCCCUACAAAUUUCUUUUCCCUCGUCCCCAUCUGCACCCCCUAUUCCAUUCCCCAUUCCCCAUUCCCACAAAUUUUCCCAUGGGAAAAUAUUUCCCGCUUUUAUGUUUUUAUAAAUAAAUAGAAAUAAAAAUAAAUAUAGAGGUCUUUUAAAAAAAUAAAUACUUACAUUGUAUAGAAAAAUUUUGAAAAUGAAAAAAGCUCAAAGGUCCACAAUAUAAAGUACUAAAACUACUUCAGUCAAGACAUGACAAAUUGGUCACAUGUGCAUGAUACACGAUUGUGUAGAUUUUAAUACAAGAUCUUAGGCAUACCAUAUCUCAAGAUGCCCCUAGAUGAAAGAAUUAUUCCUUUAGUUAUUGUACCUCUGGCCUUAGUUGCACUGAGAUGGUCUAAAAUGUUAGAAUUCUGUCUUUAUUUUUUGAUCUUAGGCAUACAUUAUCCUGAGAUGCCUGUAUGUCUCAGGAUGAAAGACUUCUAGCUUUAGUUAUUCGAUCUCGAACAUACAUUGCCCUGAGUUGACUCAGGAUGAAGGAAUUCUUCCUUUAUUUUAUUCAAUCUCAGGCGUACAUUGUCUCAAGAUGUCUUGAGAUGAAAGACCUCUGCCUUUAAUUAUUCGAUCUUGGCCUUAAUUGCAUCAAGAUGACCUGAAAUGAAAGAGUUCUGCCUUUAUUUUAUUUGAUCUUGCCUCGAAAUGUCAUCGAAUGAAAGUUUUUUGUCUUUAGUUAUUCGAUCUCGGGCCUUAAUUGCACCGAGAUGGCCUGGGAUUAAUAGAAAUAUACAUGUGUGUGUGUGCGUUUUUUUCUUUCGAGGCAGGGUCGCGACCAGGUUCCGAGAAUGUAUUCCCCAUCCUUAGUCGUGAAUUGUUAAUAAAAAAAAAAAAAAAUCCUUAGUGCCUCUCCCAUUUUCCUCCUCGUUGUUGUACCUCUAACAAUACUUCAUUAAAAAAAAACACUAUUAAAUUUGAUGUUCCAAGAUGAGCAAUGGCUUUGUAAAAAUUGUUAGGAUCUCAACCUAACAAGAGAUACUCAAGAACACACAAACGGAACUCAAGAACAAUCAAUUAUGAAAAGCAUAUUUGAAAUAAAUGUUAUAACAUCAAAGAACAAGUAACUUGCUCUUUGCGAGGACUAGACUCUCCCAAAUCCCCCACAAGAAAAUUGAUCCACACAUAAAAUUCUUCAUACUCUUUCCCAAUCCCUCUCCUUGAUCUACAAUCCCUCUCCUUGAUCUAUUUAUACUAAAAAAGAACUAACUAACUUUCUAACUAUUUACUAAUAUAUAUGUUCCCAACUAAUAACCAUAUUAAUUUUCAACUGAAUAUUCCUUUUAUUCUUUAACUAGGGAUCUCACAUCUUCUUACCAAAUGGCUAGGUCCCUACUAGCUAACUAUAUUAAUUUACAUCAUGUAAUUUAGAAUCAUUCUUUUAGCUGCUUAGGUGAAGGAUAUUAUCGAGGCCAACUAGACUAGCUUUUUUGGGUGCUUACAAAUAUCUUAAGGUGUCAUUUCGGACUUAAAUGUAAUUUAGGCUGAAUGUGCAUUUAUAUUUAUCAAUAAUCAAACUUUAUGUCCUUAAUUCUACUUGUUGGGGAUUUUUGAACAUUCAUAAUCUAGAUAUAUAAUCGAGGCAUUACAAAACACAUGCAAUCAUGUUAUGUCAGAUCAUCAUACUCGUACCAAAGUUUAAAUACAAAUAACAAUUUUCGACUUUUGUAAGAAUGCAAGAGAUAUAUAUUGCACACUCAUGCCACUUGACAAGCGUUUCUUAACUAAUAUACUAUUUCUUAUGGAAAAUCUCUUAGCACACUCAUUUUGAGAUGUUUGCCCUCACUAGGUGUGUAAUCGGGUUGGGUUGGGAGACAUUCUCAACCCAACCCAUACUUUUGGGUUAUAUGGGUUGGCAACCCGAAUUUAGUUUCCAACUCAAUCAGUAAAAAUAUGGGUUAGGUUGGGUUAUGUUGUUUUUUUUUUUUUUCUUUCUUCGUUUCUACUUUCUAACGAAAACGAAGGUGGAUGGCACGAUUGUGAGGGAGAAGACCGAAGAGGGAGAAGAUCGACCGUCGAAAAUGGAGGUGGACAACGAGAUUGUGAGGGAGAAGACAGAUGACUGAGGUGAGAUGGAAGAGAAGAAUCGAACACAAUGAAAAAGGGUGAACAGGACGCAAGGGAAAGAAAAUUGAAGAGGGAGGAAGACCUUAAUUUUUAGAUUUUAUUUUAUUAAAUAAAUAAUAUAUAAAUAUGAAUAUAUAUACAUAUAUUAUAUUAAUUUAGGUUGGGUUGGGUUGACCCGAAUUUUUCAAUCGUCCAACCCAAGACCCAACCCAACCCGAAAAUAUUAAUUUUUUUUAAUCCAACCUAACCCUUACAAUAUGGGUUGGGUAGUACGGAUUAUCUGAAUUCAACCCAUAUUUUUACACCUCUAGUCUUCACCGUGGAUGAUCAUUUUCACCACGGUGGCUCAUUAGACCAUAGAGCAAGUUAUGGCUUAUGGCGGUAGAGAGAGCCAACACAAUGUAUUUCCCUUUAGAUCAUUUCAAGGUACAAAGUUGGUUUCAGCCCUCAAAUGUUGUGAGGAGUCACUCACUAGUGUGAAUACCACAUUUGAACUAUGAUUAAAAAAUUGAUGUGGUUGCUUUCUUCACUCAUGUGUCGUCAACUCUAGAUUCACCCGUCCAAACUUCUAACAAAACUCUGACUUUUAGGAGAGAAAUGACCCUAAGGAUAUCAGGAGGAGUGAAGAAGAAAAAGAAUAUAGAAAUGAGUAAAACAAUAAUAAACAACUAUAGAGGCAAUAGUGCAAGUAAUAAGGAAUACAUAUAUUACUUUGUACGUGACACGGAAGAAAUUAUAAAGUACUGUUGAGAGAAGCAGCCUAUUGCUAUAGUAGAAUUGAGACAUGUUACACCAAAUUCUUAUACUUAUAUUAACUAAUUUUAUCCGUGUAAAGUUAUAUAUUUGACAAAUGUGAUGUGAUAUUUGUGUGUACAUUGAGGGCAGUGCCCACUUUUCCUGAACACAUAAAUAAUGUUAAGUGAACAAUUGUAUGUAACUAGUCGUACCAUAUUAGACAUACACUUUUUAUAUUAUUAUAAGUAAAAAAAUAUCAUAAUUAAAGCUAAAUUUAACCUCUAAAUCGAAGUUUUGUGACUAAUAAAUCUCAAAUUUGUAAAUAAAUGUUAGAUAAAUAUUCUUGAUUUUUAAUUUUGUAUAUCUUUUGACGAGUACUACAACUGAACAUUUUAAACUUUGUAUAUCAUAAAUCACGAAUCAUGAUAUAAAGGAUAUAAUAUAUUUUUUUAAAGAGGUAUUUAAUGUUCCAUAUUGGUAAAUGUAUAUCAUUUUGUAACGAUGUUUAAUAAUCUCGAUAAAAAUUAGAUUUUUUUCAAUAGCUACUAUAAAUAUAUAUCUUUCUAAACGGUCUUUAAUAAUCUAAUUUCAAAGGUUACGUUCAACAAAUAUCUAUUCUUCAACUUUAUAUUUAAUAUAUUAUUCAUAAAUUAAAAAAACAAAACAAAAGCUGAAUACAGUAUGGUAUUAUUAUAGACACGUUUUUAAAGAUCAAGUGCUCUAUUAGAAGUAUUUGAACACGUUUGGAAGACUUGGAACUGAGUUUGUAAGGAAAGAAACAAAGAAAGAAGAAAAACAAAUGGCAAAGAAGAUGAUGAACGUGGAAGAAACAUAGAAAUCUCCAUAGCCAUUAAAAGCCACACCAUACAACCUUCAAAAUUCCACGUCUCAUCCAUGCAUUGCUCUCUUAUUCCUUCAAAUACUCAUCCUUUCAGCCACCACUUUUCUCCCCUACUCUCCUCUUUAAACAUUAUACUCAAGCCCAUAUAAUGAUGUCUACUAAACCACUAGUUUCCAUCCUCCUCCUUUCCCUCUUCCUCUUCGCCGUUGCUGCCUCCGACCACCAGUUCGACGAUGACAACCAAAGCCAACGCCCUUGGUUGCAAAGGUGCCGUCAGCAGGUUCUCGCCUUUCCAGUUCUCUUUUAUUUAUAGUUUCAUUUAUUCGGUUAAUUGCUAUUUUUUAUUUUUAUUUGUAUUCGUUGGGAUGAGAACAUGCAUACAAUCCACCAACUAGUUUGCUUGUGUUUUUGUUAUUUUUAAACAAAUAACUACUUUACUUUAAUAUUGUUCAAAAUUAAUUAUUUUGGUAUUUUCUAUACUUUAUUUAAAUAUAUAUUUCAUAAAUUAUUUAGAUUUCAUUUGCUAUUAAUAACUAUUUGUUUUUUUGUUUUUAUUUUUAAAAGUUAAGCUUAUCUUUUCUCCAAUUUCUUACGUUAAAAUGUUGAAUUUUUAGCUAAAUACUAAAAACCAAAACUAGCUUAGAACUUUAUAUAUUUUCUUAACUUUCAAAAAACUAAAAUGGUUUUAAAAAAUAUUGGUGAAAAAAUAAAUAAUGAAAUUAUAAAUUUAGACAUGAAAGAAAGGUUAUUAUAAAAUUUUCAAAAAAUCUAAAAACAAAAAAACUAUGACUCCUUUUUUAACUAAAUUAUAUAUAUAUAUAUAUAUAUAUAUAUAUAUAUAUAACUUUUUAAAUACCAUACUAAAGUUAUAUUGGCAAAAAUGUACAAAAAAAAAAUAUCCAACCAAUGUAAGCAAAUCCAAACGUCACUUUUCAUAUAGAACCCAAGAUUACUUAAAUCCCAAACCCAAGAUUACUUAAAUCCCAAAUUUUGAAAACUAAGAAAACACAUAAAUUUAAAAAUAAUUUUGUUUUAAGAAUUUAACUAACAAUUCUUAACUCUUUGAAAAAGAGGAAAAAUAACUUGUUAUUCACCACACAAAUGUUUUAUUUUACUUUAUGUUUACCAACAAUCAAAUGUAACACCUACCAUGUCGCUAAAAAUGUGACAGAUUCGAAGCGGCGAACGGCUGCGCCACUGUGAGAGGUUACUGACACAGCCCCGCCGCUUCCGGCUGCUGUUAGCAGCGGAGGAAGAGGAAGACGCAGUGGAACAUCUGGAGGAAUGCUGCCAGCAGCUGAAAGGGAUGGACGAUGCAUGCCGGUGCGAGGGGCUUCGUCAGAUCGUGCAGCGCCGUAGGCAGCAAGGCCAGCUGCAGGGGGUCGAUGUUGGACAAAUGCUGGAAAGAGCUACAAACUUACCGUCGGUCUGCCGUCUCAGCCGACGCCGGUGUGACCUCCGAUCAACCACUCCAUUGUAGAAUAAGAGGAAAGAAAAGAGAGAGGAGAGAGAGAGCCCAUUGAGGUUGAACAAUCUGAAAAAUGGAGUAAUAAUCAAUAAAAUAUGAAGGCUCCCCAACUUAGAGGGAGAUCUGUGUACUAAUGUUUUAAAGAAACAUCACUUAGUUUCUUUUUUUUCUUUCUUCUUUCUUUCUUUUUAUUUUUAUUUUUGGUUUAGUUUUCUUUUCUUUACCUUUUUUUCUUGGGGUUUUUGUUUUGUUCUGUGUGCUGAAAUCGAAAUAAAUCAAAAUAAGUCUUAGACUCUACUGGGAAUAAAUAUCGUUGAAUCUUAAUUAUUUAGUUUACUUCUUUUAAUUUGGUUGAAUCUUAAUUAUUUUUGUUUACUUCAUUUAAUUCAUCUCUUUCAAACUAUUUUUUCUAAUUUUAAAUAUCAAGUAACUAUUUUUUUUAAAAUCAACAUACUCGGGUUGAGUUGAGUUGGAGAACGUUUUCAACCCAACCCAUAUUUUCAAGUUGGUUGAAUUGGAACUUAAAUAACCUCAAUUGUAUUUCUAUCCAAUCUCGAGUUAGAUUGAGUUGGCAGGUUGUAUAUAUAUAUAUUUUUUUUUCAUUUUUAAUGUUUGCAAAGUUUAUAAUUGUUGUACCUCGAUAAAUACACACAUCCAAAAAUUUAAACAUCCAUAAAUUCAAAGUUUCAAACAUCCAUAAAAGUUUAACAUUCCAAACAUUAUUCAUAAAUAUUAAAUAAAUAUAUAAACAUUUUUAAAAAUAGCAAAAUAAAUUAAAAUUUUGGAUUCUAUCACGGAUAGUCUUCUAUCACUAUAACAUAUCACUGAUUGAAUUUGCUAUAGGUGGUAAAUAUUUUGUAAAAUCUAUUAUUUUUAAAAAUUUUCCAAAAAUAUAUGAUAUAAAUAAAUUUAAUUUAUAGGGACAUUUUUAAAAAUACUAAAUAAAUUAAAAUAUUUACAAACUAUAACAAAAAAUUUUGGAUUCCAUCAAUGAUAAAAACUGAUAGAUUUUUAUCACCGACUAUAAAUGUUACUAUACAAAAAUAUCAAUGUUUAUCAAAUAUUUGUUGUUGAUAGAAUUAGAAAUUUUGCUAUAGCUUAUAAAUAUUUUGUCAAAUUUGCUAUUUUUGACAAUUUUUUCUCUCUAUAUAUAUAUAUUAUGAGUAAUAAGGGUUGGAUUAGGUUAAAUCGAAUUUUUCAACCUCAAUCCGAGACCCAACCCAACUCGAAAAAAAUCAAAAUUUUCAACCCAAACUUAACUCAUGUAAUAUGGGUUGGGUGUUACGGGUUUCGACUUAUUCAGAUUAUUCUUACACCCCACUUAGGACAUCUUAAACUUACUUUUUAAAAAGGGGCUCUUGCAAAUAUGACAAAAUUAAUUUGAUAAAUUAGGCUUAUACCACACAAAUUGUAAAUUUGUAAAAAUAAGUCCAGUCACAUUUGAGAAAUGCAAAAUUACAAACCUACCCUAUAAAAUUAUAAAUCAUUAGUUUGUUACAUUUAAGUUAGCCACAUUAAACAUUUUUUACAUGUUUCUUCUUCCCUUCAUGUCUCACUAAUACUUCAUCGAUACACAUCAUUUGUUUGAUACAUUUGAUAUGUUGUUGAUACCUUGAUGCAUUUUUUAUACGCUUGUUAUGCUUUGCUAAUACAUCUGAUGAAUUAAUUAAAUAAUACUUGAUACACAUCAUUGGUUUGAAUAUACAUUGGAUAUGUUAUUGAUACAUUUGCUAAACUUUGCAAAUACACUUAAUCAAUUAAAUACACUUGAUGUACUAAGUAUGAUACAUUUAAUAUAUUGUCGGUACACUUAGCUAUUAUGGUUUGUUCAUACAGUACUUGAUGGGUUUAAUACACUACCGAAAAUAUAUUUUAUACUUUACUAAAAUCCUCGACAGAUUUUAUAAAACUAACUUGAUGCAAUUCAUAUGUUUGAUACCCUUGAUGUACUGAUAGUACACUUUCUAUAUUACUAAUACACUCGAUUGAUUAAAUACAUUUGAUACACUUAUGGUUCUGCCGAUACACUUAAUAUAUUUCACUAUUACACUUCGAUACAUAUUAUAUGUUUGAUAUACACUUGAUAUCAUGUUGAUUAUUAUGCAUUAUUUGUAAUAUGAUCAACUUGAUUAAAUGAAUCAAUUUCAAUUUACUUAAAUAGGUUAAUGCUAAAGAGAACCUUGAAAAUAAAGUUCAAUAAGUUGACAACAAUAGAUUCAAUUGUCAACACGAGUUUCAAUACGUAAUAUCAAGUUCACAAAAUAAUCAAACAACAUCACUCCAUCAACCAAAACACAAUUGUUUUGCAAUCCACGUAGUAUGUCACUCAUCCCAUUAACCACUAUGAAACAUAAUUAUUGCAAGCUUAACCAUGACUACGAUCAACUGCAAAAAAUUAAAGAAAAAAAUAGAUAGUAUGUACAUCAGUCAAAUAAUACAUAUAAUAUAAGUGUAUCACAACACUGAUAUACAAAACUGAUGAACAAAAUAAAACCAAAAUAGAACCAACAUAAAAAAAAAAUAAUAAUAAUUAGAAAUUAGAUUUAACUCCAAAAUUCACACCAAAGAAAAUAGAGAAUAAUAACAUAUAAAGUUAAAAUUUUCAUAUCAACAACUAUUAUAUAUCAAAUUUCAACUAACACUACAAGAAAUCGAAGUUUUUUCGAUGAAGAAAAAUGCGUCGGACAAAGGAACAUCGACAAACGGAGUUUCUUCCGACGUAACAAGAAUAAUUUCGAAAGAGGGCCUUUCUCCUGACGCUGCCAAAUGAACAUCGAGCAAAUGUGGCCAAGCCCCAACGUGAUUCAUGUACACAUCGGAACUACCUUAGUUACUGUCGACGUCUACUAUAUGGCAUCGAAAGAGGUGAAAGAAUUAAAUGCAUAAUUGGCUUUCCUCCAACGUGAUGUCGGAGGCAUCAAGAAAAUGGAUUCACAUUCCUAAUGUCAUUAGUUAUAUGUCAGAAAUGAGAGGGUUUCCCUGACACUUUCGAGAUGUGUCGAGUAUUUCCCUUUUAAUAAACUCAUUCUCAUUCAUGAUGUAAAUUACAGAAUUGAAAGAGAAGAAGGAAAACGAGAGAGAGAGAGAGACUAAGAAGAAGAGAUCUUUCAUCGUCCUGUUGUCGUCGAUCCCCGUCGCUCGUUGUCGUUCUAUCAUCGUUGUCUUCUAUCGAUUCUACUAAUUUAGGUAAGUACUUUUGUUUUAUAUUAGUUUAGAUUUAGUUUAUUUUUAUUUAGAUUAUAAAUGAUGAUUUAGGAAUAAGAUUUUGAAUUUGGUUUUAGAUUUGGAUUUUGAAUUAGUUUUUGGAGUUCAAUUUGAAUUUUAUUUGUUUUUGGGAUUCAUGAAUUAGUGUAAAUUUGAGGGGUUGUUGAAUUCAAAGUUUGAAAGAGUGAGGGGUUGAAUGAAUUCAAACCGUAAGGGGGUUAAAUUAAAAAUUGAAAGGGGUUGAAUUGAAAAUUAGAGGGAAAGGUUGAGUUUGGUUGAAUUGAAAUUUUUCACGAGAGUUGGAUUGAAACAGGUGAAUUGAAAUUUUGUAGGAGGGUUGGAUUGAAACUUGGAGAGAGAGAGGGUUUGUAAGAGGGGGUUGAAAGGGAUGAGAGAAGACUGUAUUGAAUUGAAAAUUUUGUUUUGGCUAUUGUGAAGUUAUGAUUACCUUUAUUUCAAACUUGAUUGUUGUUUAUUUUUUAAUAGUUUUGUUUGUUAGAACUAUUAGGAAUUUGUUAUUGAUUUCUUAUGGUUAUUAUGGAGUUAUGGCAACCUCUUCUCUUUAGUGCAAACUUAGUUUUGAAUUUGUUAGAUGAUAGUAGUUUGUUUGGUUAGUUUGUUCUAACUACAGUUAUGGUAGCCUUUGUAGUUUAAACUUAGGUUAAAAGAUUGGGAGGAUUGGAAAUAGCUAUUCAUGAACUAAUUAAAUUUAGGGUUUGAUGGGAGGAAUAUAGGACUAAUGAUCAAACAUAUUAUUUACUUGCGGUACGUAUUUUUGAGCAGUAUCGUUGUUUACGUUGCAUUAUAUAUAUAUCUUUUUUUUUUUUUUUCAUUGUGUAGGUGUGGACUUGUUUAAUUAUGGCAUUCCCAAUUAAGUUAUAUUAAUUUUUUUUAUAUAAUUUUUUAACAAAUUGAGAAGUGUUAGACAAUGUAAUAUUUUUUAAUUACAAUGUAAUUUUGAUUUGGCAUUUUGUAUAUUUAUUUACUAAUUUUGGUUGUUCAUUUUUUUGUAAUUUUAUUGAAUUUAAAUCGAAUUGGAAUUGAACAUAAUAGUGCACAAUCAAAAUAAGAAAUUAAAAAAAAUCCUCAAACCGUUCCCGACGCAAAUAGUGCAUCGGAAAAUAGGUCUUCCCUCCAAAAAUGCAUAAUGACAUCAGAGAUAGUUUUCAUGAUGUAACGUCGGCCAAACUCUUCUCUCGACAUAGAAAUCUACGUCAAGAGAAGAGUUCUCUAUUUCCUGACACGAUUACGUCGUCGGCACAACGUGCCUCGGGUGAAGGGCAUUACCAACGCGUGUUUCUUCUUUCGUCGGGAAUAGAUCUCCUGAUAGGAAUUUUCGACAACCAUUCCUAUGUGGGACAUUACGUCGGGAGACUGUUUGCCGACACAAUUUGUAACCUUACCCGAUGCCAUCUUGCAUCGAAAAACUCCCAACUUGUUGUAACGUAAUGUUGCAUGAGAUUGAAUAAAAAGUUGGCAAAGUAAAUAAAAACUGCUUUCUAUUUUUAAUUUUAAAGAAAAUAGAAAAACACAAAAAUAACAAAUAAUAAAGUAAUAAAAAGAAAAAUGGUAGGAUCCACUAUUCUACAACGUAACUUUUACCAUUUUCUCUUUCUGCACUUCUCCUUUGUUCUUUUCCUUCUUCUUUAUCCUCCCUUUCUUUUCUUCUGCUUCUUUCCUAAACUUCUUGUUUUACCAUCCUUUUGUUAGUAUUACUGUCGUCAAAAUUGGUGCUCCAACACAAAUUCAACAUGCAAGUCUUACACAUCAUUUUGAAACUCCUAUUUUGUCAUGCUUCCAAAUUAAACUUAUUCGUGCUCUCAUUGUUGUCGUCCUUUUUGGUCAAGUUCUCAUCCACAACGUCAAAACAUUUUUCUCACCGUCAAUCGAAUUUAGGGUAAUCAUGGUAUUGAAAACUGUGAUGCUCCAAAAGAAAAAGAAAUGGUAAAAAUGGGAAUUAAAAAUACAAAAGUCUGAAUUUGAUAGAAAAUCACAAACCUUAAACGUUUUUGGCAAAGUACCUAAACUAUUUUGUCAUCCAAUACAAUUUCUCUUUUAAAAACUUGUGUAAACUACCAAGAUAUAAUUAUUAAAAACUCAGGGACGAAACACUCUACUCGUCAAAACAUGGAUACUAAAAAGAUAAUUUUGCUUUAUUUUUCAGGGUUUGUACUAAAGGUUUCUUUUUGUUCUAAUAUAUAUUUUCUUUUUUUAAAAAAAAAACAAUUGAAUAUACAUUUGUAUUAUAUGUUUAAAUGGAACUAAAUCAAUUGAUUUUAACCUGUUCUCUACAAAUUUUAGAAAUAUAAAUUUCUAGUAGUUUUUACAACUGUUUUAUGCCAUUAAAAUUUGAUUAAGCAUUAAAAAACUCAAACACAAAGAACUAAGAGAUCAAAAUAAACAUAAACUUAAGAAACAAGAAAAAAUUAUUAUCAAACAAAGUCCAAUUAAGCACAAUUUGACAUGUGUGCUAAAUCGCCAUGGUUUCUAUUUUUAGAUCUUAAAAAAGCUUAAUAUAAUGUUCAAUAAUUUAAUUUAUUUUCUAAAUAAUGAGAUUAAUUUAAAAAUUAAUUCAAAUAGAGAGAGAGAAGUUGAUGAGACGAGAGAACAAGUCGUUAAUCAUAUACAUACUAAUAACUGUGGUUUGUAAUUAGUUUUUAAUAACAACAAAGAAGAAAAGUUGUGUUAUUUAAUUAAAACUAAUUAAAAGCCACCAGAUAGACGAAUAACCAAAUACAGUGCAGAAUCAUUCUUAAUAUUAUUCUCUGCAAGAGUUUUAUGAUUUUCGAGAACCUUUCCUGCAUAAACAAUAUUUUGACUAUCAGCACGUACUCCAUAUUUAGCUUCUAGUUUAGCCUUCAAACCUUCAAUUGUGGCCGUUGGUUCCAAAUCUAAACUUAAUACUUUCCCAUCGAACGUCUUCACAAAGAUCUGCAUCUGCAUUAUUAUUUUUCAAAUUCACAACACAAAUUAACGUAACUAGGAUCCCAUUUCCUAAUCAAUUUGUCAUUUCAUACUACAGAUCACCAUCAAAGUUGAAAUGGGAUUGUUCCCUUGAAAUGUUAUGAAUUCCAAGUUUUGUUGAUUUUGAUAUGAAGCUUUGAUUAAUUAUUAUUAUUAUUUUACUGGAAGUAGAGAAGUAGCGAGGACGUAUAAUUUUAGUGGAAAUUAUUAUGAGUUUUUGUAUUUAAUGGUCUAUUGUGGAAGAAGACGAUUGAGUGCUUUUUUCAAGAAAAAAGAAAAAUUAACGAAGAAAUGUACAUACACUUCGAUUUUUAUUCUCACCACUUUGGAAAACGAAGUUGUUUAAUUUGGUGUUAAUUAAGAGUCGUUGUUUCUUUGGGUUUCUUUGGGUUGAGUUUCUUCUAAGACGAAGAUUCUCAAACAGCCAUAAAACUCUAAUAAAUUAAUUGAGAAUAAUACUUUUUUUUUUCUUUUAGUUAGUAGUUUGGAUAAUUACAAUAUUCUUAUUAAAAAAUUAAAAUAGAAAAAAUAGAAAAAUUGAACAAAACAUUUACAAAAUUAAAGUGUAAUAGUUUUUCUAAAUGAUGGGUAAUAAUUUGUACUUUUUAUUUUUUUGAAAAAAACUUCAUAUAAAAAAUUAUUAAGAAAAAAUAUGAUAUUUAAUAAAAAGAGAGAUUUGAUUUGAUUUUUUUUGUGCAUAUAAAGAUUAUUUGGAAAAUAGAUUUUUAGGAGAGGAGUUGUCAUAAAUAGAAAAAAAAAUUAAAAAUAUUUCCAAGAUAUAACAAAAAAAAUCUCAAAUGCUCUUUAGAGAAAAAGUUGACAAGAUCAAAAAGUUACAAAAAAGAAGUAGCCAUAAUUUUGAUAGUAAUAAUAAUAAAGAAAACUAAAAUGUGUUAUUUAAUUAAGACUUAAUUAAAAGCCACCACGAGUAAAAAGAAGCAAAAACAAUGCAAGAGUUGGAUGAUCUUGAAGCAUCUGCAUAAACAAGCUUUUGAGAUUCAACACCUAUGUCAUGCUUAGUUUCUAUUUUAGCAUUCAAAUUUAUGCAUUUGUGGCCGUUGAUUCAACAUCUAAAGCUAAUUAUCUUCCUAUCAAAAUGUCGUCACAAAGAUCUACAUCUGCAUUUUUUGAAAAUAAAUUCACAAACACAAAUCAACAUAUCAAGGCUCUAUUUGGUAGUGAUUUGGUUUUUUAGUGUUCAAGAAGAAAUUUGGAGAUGGAAGAGUAAUGGUAUUGAUUAAUUGCUUUUACCAAAAACAAAAUGAUUUUACCAAUUAUGAGCUAAGUUAUUCCCAAUUUUAUGCCUUAUAGAAUCAUCAAAAUUCAAAUGAGAAUGUUUAUACCUUGGGAUGUUAUGAAUUCCAAGUUGUCGAAGGGAUGUUGAUGCAGCUUUAUGAUUUGAUUGAUUUGUAUAUUUGAAUGUAAAGAUUUGAGAACAUUGUAUAUUUAUAGUGGAAAAUACUAUGAGUUUGCAUUAAUGCUUCAUAUGGAUGAAAACGAUGAGUCAUUAAAAAAAAAAACUAAACUUUGAUUUCUAUCCUCAACUCUUGGGAAAAACGAAAAUGUUUGGUGUUAAUGAAAAGUCAUUUCAAUUUUUUUUUCUAGGGAUGAGGAUUCCCAAACAACCAUUAAACUCAAACAAAUUUGUCAAUAAUCAUAUCGAGUUUGGAUAAAUGUAAUAUUAAAAAAUAUAUAUAUAAUAUUUAGGAAAUGAUAAGGGAGAAAAGAUAAAAUGGAUUAACUAUUAAAAAAAAUUGUUUCCCUUCUUCAUUUUCCUUAUUCUAUUUAAGAAUAAUUAUGAACUGAAUAUUUGAGAUAUUAAGAGUCGUACGUUCGAAAAACCAAGAAAACUCAUAUUUCAUCUAUCCUCUUAUAAUCAAUUAGUUUUGAAAUAAAAUUCCAUAUUGUUAAAUUUAACAUAAAGAUAGGUGAACUCAAAGAGGCACUGCUUUGCUACGGAAUCCCAAAAGUUUAAAGUUUAAUUUUAGUAACGAUAAAAAAUAAAUGUUUAUAUGCAAAAUAAUUUAAAAUUUAUACUAACAAUAUUUAUAGUUAGAUCUUAAAUUAUCAUAAAAGACUAUUAAACAUUAUGAAUUAAUUUUAUAAAAAAAUACACAUUUUAAAUCUUUUUUCAGAAAUAUAUUUUAAAAUAAAUUGUACGUUGACUUGAAAUUAUUAAUUUUUUAGUUAAUUGAAACUAAAUAUUUAUUUUAUUUUUUGUCUUAAUUUUUUUAGGAGAAUUUUUAAAAACAGUAGACUUUACAAAAUAUUUACAACCUAUAGCAAAUUAUAUCACUUAUAGUCAUUGAUAUGCAAUAGUGAUAGAAGACUAUUAGUGAUAUUUGUAUUAAUUUUUUUAUGAGAAUUUUUAAAAAUAAUAGAGUUUGCAAAAUAUUUACAACUUAUAGCAUAUUCUAUCACUCGUAGUCAUUGAUAUGCUAUAGUGAUAGAAAACUAUCACUCAUAGGAUCAAAAAUUUUGCUAUAGCUUGUAAAUAUUUUAAUUUAUGUUAGCUAUUUUUAAAAAUAAACCGUAAAUAUAAACAUCUUUGAAUUUGUUCUUAAUUUUCUUUUCUAUCAUCAGGUUUCUUUUAUUCUAAGUAUCUGAAUAUUCUUAUUGAUUUCUGUUUUUGUUAUAUUCAAUCGUUUGAAAUGUGUUGUAAUUGUUCUUUAUGUUCUUGGCAACCAUGGUGAGCUUAGAAGGUAAAGUAUGAUUUUAUUUUAUUUUUGUUUACUUACUGCUUAGUGUGUCUUUGUGGUUUGAAUUUUUUGCAUAUGUUUGUUUGCACACUGCAGCUACAAAAGAGGAGGAAGUUGAAGAAGAUGAUAAAAUGGAUGGUUACCAAAGUAGGAAGUUGAUGACGAUGGGAAGAUAUUUUUAUUUUUAAAAAAUAGAGGAUAUCCUGACGCUAUAUCCCGUGCGUCGGGAUAUCCUCUCUAGACAAAUGUUUUUCGACUUCGAUCCGGCACGAACUUAUGCAUCGAGAAAUCAUUUUCAAAUAUUUUUUCUCUUUCUUCCAACACUUUUGUACGUCGGAAGAUCCUUAUUUUCUUUUCUUGUAGUGUGAAUUGAAAUAAGAAUAAUGUAUAGCUUUGUUUUAAGAGGCAACAGUGAAAAGAAGAUGAUUGUGGAGUUUUGAGAUUGGUUUACUCAUCUCUUUAUUCUCACAAGGAAUUGGUAAGCAAAUCCCGAUUUCCUCCCAAGUUUGCAAUUCUCUCUCAUUUUAUUAUUUUCUAAUGUGACUAUAUAAAUCUACUUGAAAAAAUGCCAAAAGUAAGACAAUUAAUUAGGGGUGUAAAGAGUUUUGAAAUUGCUUUUUGAAAUGUUGAGUUUAAGGACAAAUAUGAGUAUGAAACGUUUAUAUAACCCUUACAUAAAAAACUUAUUUUCUUCUUUUUAUUUUUUUAUUUUUUAAAAUCUUUUUCUGUUUUUAUUUUAUGAAAAAACACAUUUUCUCUCAUCUUUCUCUAACUUAUUUUCUCCCAAAGCUCUCUUACAAUUACUUAGAAUUUUGUGGCUUUAUCUCUUGAAUAAACUCCCUUCUUAUUAAGUGUUUAUGUCAUUUUUUUUCUGAUUAUAGAUAGUCCUCUUAGGUUUUUGAUGUUUCUAACUCAUUUAUUCUCCUCUUACUGAAACAUAUAAAUCUCAAGUAUAACUCAUAGUUAAUUUUAUAAUUGUUCUAGAUAUCUCUAGUUGUUUGAUAUAUAUUUAGAUAAACUUUUUUGGUUAUUUUUUUAUCUUGCAAACAUCUAGCAACUUCCAUAAACUUCAAAUGUUUAAUCCCAAAUCAACUAUAUACUUGUUUCAUGUGAUUUAUGGUGAGUUUACUACACAUGUUUUAAGAAGAUUUUAACUACUAUUUUUGUAUCUUGCAAACAUCUAGCAAACAUCUUUCUUAAAUAUCUCUCUCGCAACUUCCAAACUUCAAAUGUCCAAUUCUAAAACAAUUGUACAUAUACUUUUACACAUCUUUUAGGAAAUUUUUAGCUACCAUUUUUUGUAUCUCACAGACAUCUUGUAAACAUUUCGCAGAUAUCUCGCAAAAUCAUCUCACAACUUCCAAACUUCAAAUGUCUAGUGUCAAAUCAAUUAUAUACUUGUUUUAUGUGAUUAGGGUGAUUCUACAUAUGUGCACUUUUGUUAUUCUUAUAGUUAAUUAUUUUGAUAUAACUAAGAGGAUAUUAUUGAUCAUCACAUUUAUUUCACAAUAUAUACAAUUGAAACAAAAUUCAAUAAAAGCUUAGAUUAUUUUUUUAGGAAACCAACUAGUUAAGAUCAACACCUACAAUUUUUUGUUCUGAACAAAAAAAGACGUUCUUGGUUCUAAUCUCUCCCGUUGAUUGUAUGAAAAAAGAAUGAAUUUCCUAUAAAGUAUAAGAUGUUUGAGAGAGAAAGAAAGAGUUGUUUAGAGGAGUAUAAAAGAACGUAAUUUAACCAAAUUCACAACUAACAUUGUAAUGAUAUCACAUAUAUAGAUAGAUAAUAAAUGUGGGUAUUGGCUUUUAAUAACAAUAAUAAAGAGAUAACAAAAAAAUGUGUUAUUUAAUUAAAACUAAAUCAAAAGCCGCCAUGAGCACGAAAAAUCAAAUACAGUGUAGAAUCAUUCUUAAUUUGAUAAUGUUCAAGAGUCUUAUCAUCUUCAACAGUCUUGCGACCGAAAAUUAGCCUUUGAGAAUAAGAGGCUACUCCAUUAAGAUCUUCAAUUUGAUCCUUCACAUCCACAAUCGUAGCUGUUGGUUCAAUUUCUAAAUUAAAUGUCUCCCCAGCAAACGUCCUUACAAACAUCUGCAAUUGUUAUUAAAAUUUGAACACCGACAAAUUAGUAAAUCAAAUUAAUUCAAAAACUUAAACUUGUAGAUGAAAUUCAAAUGGGUUUACCUUUGAAAUAUUAUGAUACGAUUGAUUUGUGUAGUUUUGUUUGAGUGAUUGAUUUACAAUUGAAAGAGAUGAUAUAUUUAUAGUGGUAAAAGAUAGACAGCGAUAGGUGUUUUUUUCUAGUAAUUAAUUAAUGUUUAUGGAAGAAAACGAUUUGUUUUUAUUUUAUUUUAUUGGGAACUAAUUAACAAAUGUUUAUUUAAGUUCAUAAACGAAAUUGUACAUGACUUUUGGUUUCUCUAACUCUUUGGAAAAUGAAAUUCUUAAUGUGGUGUUAAUUAAGAGUCUAUUGAUUACUACUCUUUUUUGCCAAGGAUUACCAUUUGUAAAAAGUAGUUAACCCAAUACUCUCUAUCAAUACGGCGAUGAUUGGGAAACUUCAAACGAAAAAAGAAAAAGAAAUUAAAAAUUAUCUCACAUUUUAGGCAAUAAGCCUCACCACCUCCCUCUACACAAUCAUACCAAAAACAAUUGCAACUAAACUGAAGUGCACGCUUCCUGGCACCAUCUCUGAAAACCAACUGGCUUUUGUGAAGGAUAAGCAAAUUACUGAUAUCAUUUUAAGGUAUCAGGUGUUACUUCAAAAUUCAAGUUUAGAUGCAUCAAAAUGUCAAAAGAUGUCGAGUAUAUCAAAAGAGUAUCAUGGUUCAUCAAGUGUAUCAAAGUUCAAGGGUUAUCAAAAAGUAGCAAAUGCAUAUCAAGUGUAUGAAGGAAUAUUAUAUGUAUCAAAUGUGUAUUAUGUAUAUUAUGUCAAAUGUAUCAUGGAGUAUUAAGUGUAUCGUAUAUGUAUUAAGUGUACCAAAUGUGUGUUAGUAACGAAUGCAUUUGUGACAUUUUAAAUCUUACAUAUGUAAGUUGAGUUUUGAUUUUGUCAUUUUUACAAAUAACAAAUGUGUGUGCUAUUGACUUAAUUAUAAUUUGUUGUCAUUUUUGCAAUUGCUCCUUUAUAUAUACUAGAUAACUUAAAAUAUGCGUUGAACAUAAAAACCUUGUUAGUAUAUAUUUUUGCUAAAAUGAAUAAAUAGUAUGCAAUGGUAAAUUUUAAAAAAUAGUACUACUGUAUAAAGAUAUACUUAAACGAGUACUUUAUAUACAAUGUUUUUUCUUACAUUUCCAAUAUUUGUAUUCAACCGAAUUUUCAUCAUUUUCAUCGAGAUGCCUUUGAAAAGUGUAACAUAUAAUUGUCGUGUGAGAAGACAUUUUGUGGAAGAUAAAUUCCAACAUGUGGUAUUGUUUGUCCUUGUGCCUUGUUAAAGGUCAUUGCAAAACUAAGGCGUACUGGAAAUUGUUUCCUCUUAAAUUUGAAUGGAUACCCUUCAUCAUUUGCCGGACUUAAAAGUAUAUGCGGUAUGAAGACAUGUUUGCGCCAAUAUGUUGGCCCAUUGCUAUUUCAGCAAAAAUCACAUGUUUUUCAAAGUCUCGACACACCAUUCUUGUCCCACAAAGACCAUUUGAUGGGUCUAAAUUUCUUAGAAGUAUUAUAGGACAAUCUUUAAAAUAAGUUUACGUGGUGGAAGUUCAUUUGGCAAUAAGGAAUUUAGAAAUUCUUGUUGUUAAUCUGAUGAAAAUUGGAGAAAACUCAGGAUUAUAUUCGUAUUGUAAUAAGAAAGGAAAGUAGAAAUUAUUGGUUGUUAAUGACGUCGGCGAUGACAUACAAUGAACUUGGAUAAGAAUGCGGCAAUCGAGGACAUAGGCCAUAGAUAGAGUCCAAGAAAUUCCAAGAACGUGUAGUUAGAAGCUGAAGCGUGGGAUAAAGAAUAUCGAUUUUACUAAAUAAUCAUAAAAAUAAAGAAAAUUCAAAACUUCGAAUUAAAAUCUACUUUAAAAUAUUCAAAGUUUUGAAGACACAAAACAAAGAAAACAUGAUCACUUAAUAGAAAAAAAAGUUUACCUCCACGACUACUUAUUCUAUUUUGGUCUUCCGCGACAGUUAUUUGGUGUCAUAAAAUAUACAAAAAUAAUUUAUUUAAUUUAUUAAAAUAAAAUUUAUUUUAAAUCCAAAGUUUAUUAAAAUCAAAUUUUUUCCUAAUUCUAAAAACAUUAAACAAUUUAUUCAUUAAAAUAAAACAUCUCCAAAACCCUUUCUCUUCUUCUUCUUCUCUUCUUUUUUUUUUCUUCUUCUUGGUGGAAGAUCAACGAGUCGCCCCUCCUUUUAGAUUUUUCCUCCCUUCCGGUAACCAUCUGUCUCCCUCUCUCAUGCACUCUGAAAACGACGAGACUUUUCGUCAAUGACACGCCCGAAAUCCCCCUCUUUCUCUCCUUCAGCCGACGCCACCACCCAACACCCCUUGCAUUGGUGAAUCUCAACUAUUAUUUCUAUUUUAUGUAUUUAUACAGUAUAUUAACUUCAAAUGCUUUUAUUUUACCCUCAAUGUGAUUAAUUGAUGGUUCUAUUUAUGAAAAACAUCCCUCAUAGUUUUGUUUUUAUAGAAGAUGUGUUUGUUUUGUCUACCAUCAUAUUAAAUAUUGUUGUUUAUGUUCAUUUUUCUAAUUUGAAUCUAAUUUUUUUCUUUAUGGUUGGCUAUGUGAUGAAGCAUUCUGGUAGCUUACAAUGUGUUUGAUGAAAUGCCUCAAUGAAGCAUUUGGUUGAUUUUUAAUUGAUUUUUGUUUGUUCUAAUUAGCAAAUCAAGGCCAAGGGAGAUUUCAUGGCUAUGGGCUCAAGCUUUGAGAAAAAGAGAAUGAAAAAUAAAAUGUGAGAUUUUAAACUUUUAUGGUGUAUAGGGUCUUUUUGUUUGUCUAUGAAUUUUCCAAGUGAAUUUAAGUACUCUUGAUUUUUCUAUUGAUAUUUUGUUUAUGGUUGCUAUUCAGUUCUAUUCUAAUUGCAUGAUAUUUAUAGUAUAAACAAACUGUAUAUAUAAACUUGAACACAAGUACUUUUAUCUAACUCAUUACUAAAUUAUUGUAAUUUGGUUACUCUUGAUUUACUAAUGAUUGAAAGAUUAAAAAAAGUUAUGAACAUUUUCACUAUGAUCCUACUCCUCUUAGAUAGAGAGGAGGAUGAUAUUUGUGAGGUAAGACAUUUGCUAUUAAACCUAAAUGCAUCAUUGGAUUCCAUUUUUCAUUGUUAUUAUCUUUGAAAAAGAAGCAUAACCUUCACUCUCUUUUUCUUUUUGUCUAUAUUAUGAUCUUGCAAUCUUGGAAGCAUUAGGGUUUCUUUUAUAAUAUAAAAUUCUUUUAUUUUAUUUGGAUUGAAAUUAUGUCUUGCUUUGAUUGAAGGAUAGAGGAAGUGAUUAUUGAUAAUUAUAGGUAUGUUCUCUCUCCAUUUCUUACAAUAAGGAUAGUAGCAACAAAAAUUACUACAUGUUCUUCUAUAUUAAAAGGAAAGACAAAAAAAAAAAAAAAAAAUCAAAAGGUGGUAAAUUAAGAUUUAUUUUGUAUGGUAGAAUUUUAUUUGCCACUUAUCAUGCUAGAUCUUUCCAAGAGGAGUAAAUUUGAAAAUUUUGAAAUACACCACUGCUUGAAACAUAAAUCGCGGUGUAUGUUAUACACAUUGGAAAUGGAUGUUUAUCCUCUGUAAUGAAAUUUUGUUUAUGAUUUUUUUUGGAUUUAUUAGGAAGUAGAAGUUAAUCUUUUCUUGCAGACAAAAAAAAGAUAUAUCCAAUGGUAAACUAGUUUUUGGAUAUCUCCCAUUUGAAGUUACUUUAAACUUGCAAGAUAAGAGGAGGUGUUUAUGUACUUGCUUAUAACUUCAGUUUCAGUUCCGUGUCUUUACCUUUUUUCUGUUUAUUAAUCCCCUUUUUCACCUUCAAAACCAUAACAUAGCGACACACACGCAGUACCUAAAGUAAAGUUCAAAUAAGUCUAAGCAUGUGUUACCUAUAGUAGUAUAUAAUGUGUUCAAAUAAUUUAUGGCUAAUUAGAGGAAGUUUUUGUAGCAUUGAGGUGAGGUACUAAAUCGAUUAAGGUGAGAGAGAGACAACCGUCAAAGGAGAGAGGGGGGGAGCCAGGAAUGAAAGAAAAAGAGAGAAAUUCACAUGAAUAUUUCCAACAGUUUUUGUGGAAAUUAAACUCCAUAGGAAAGCAUUAUCUAAAUUGGUUUGGUGAUCUCUUUUAGUUGCUUAUUAUAGUUUUACUGUGGAGACCAAAAUUUGAUGUCUUGAAUAAAUAUAAAACGAUUCUCAUUUCUAUUUUGUGAUUAGCUAGUUGAGCUUAUUUCAAUAGUUAUCAAUUAAGAAGUAUGGUUGUUGUUGAAAAAUUAGUCCUUUAACUGUAUGAAACUAUAUUUUCUUCCUAUGACUACCUUAUGACAUUUUGAAUAAUUGAGAAUUGAGGAUUAGCAGAAAGUUCUCUUACUUCAAUAUAUUUGAAUAUGAAUGUGUAAAGCAGAUUUCAUAGUUCUUGUACAUAAAGUAAAGCAACACAGAGGUAAGUUCAUAGUUAUUGUAUCACAUUUAUAUAUAUGUGAUUGGCUUAUAAUUAAAUAAAUAUGAAUGUGUGUAUUUAUUUUUUUUUCUUAGGAAGAGUUCGAUAUUUUUUAAGUAAAAGUUCAUGUUCAUGGAAACCUUUUGUUUGGGGACCUACAACUCGUAGGAAUUGCUGCAAUUCGACCCUCCUAUCAAUAACCCACAAGCUUGUCGAUAUCCAAUGCAUAAUUGUUUGGGAUUCUACCUUGGUAUGUUACUUGUAAUUAUAUUUUUCAUUUUUAAAAAUCUGUAAGUUCAUGUUUGAUAUAAAACUUUGUAUGUAUAUAAUUUGUAUGUGUAUAAAACUUUGUAUGUAUAUAAUUGGUAUGCACAACCAUUUUAUUUUUUGAGAUCUAGAUAAUGUUUUGGAGAUGGUUUUGUUGGUAGAGGAUUGAUUCUAUUGGGCGGUGUUUCAUAAUGUUUUGAGAAGUUCUUUGUAUAUUGUACUGAAUUAUGCCUAGAUAAAUUGAAUUUGAUUAUAGUUUCUGCAAGUUUUACUUCUUGUGGACAUGUAAAAUUAUGCUUAGGUAUUUUAAUGCAUUAUUUUAAAUCUUUGCCUAGAGUUUUUGCUAUGAUUCAAUAUGGAUUGUUGCAAAGGCAGUGGAUAAGUUUCAUUAUUAUGUUAUUGAACUCCAUGAACAGCGAAUGUUGUUAGACUUAUAUUGGAAAGUUUCAAAACUUUAUUUCUCUCUUUUUCAUCGGCUUGCAACCCUUAAUAUGUAAAUUUGAAAAAACAUUUUGUAGGUAGUUUUCUUCAUGUUUUCAUGAUUGGGAAGGUUUGACUGAUAGUGUAGACUAUGCUUGUAGAAUAAAAUUUGUGUUGUAUAUAACUCUUUGGUCGUAUAUAUAUAUAGAGAUAGACAUAUAGAUAUUACUAUAUGAUUGAAUUUAUUUAUACUUACCAUAUGUUCUCAUGUUAAUAUGAAUUUAUGCAUGUAACACUUAAAAUUCUUAUUCAUAUGCAUGCUCUUUCAUUUUUUCUAACUUUUCAUUGGUUGGUGACAAGGAAGAAAAAUAAUGUUCAAGGAUUGAAUCUCUGAAAGGGGACAAAAUAAGUAAAACACCCAAAGAAACAAUAGAACAAAAAAAAAUACAAGAGCCUAAGAAAUAAAUAGAGGAACCAAAAACAACAAACCAAAAAAAAAUCAAGCCUUUGAAAAUUCAAAGACAACAAUGAAGACAAAAGCUUUUUAUUUAUUUAUUUUUAUUUUUAUAAUGAGAGCAAUGUCAUUGACAGAUGAAUAAAAUAAGAGAGAACAAACUCAUUCAAUUGUUUCAAGCUCAGUUAGGUUACAUACUUGCCACAUUAUGAUUUGAGUGCAAAGCAAGAUGAGAAAGUCAACAUGAUAGCAACAAGGCCACAAAACCAACCCAAUGAUGAGUGACUUUUACAACAAGAUCUUGGUGGGUGACUUCAUCAAGAUUGGAAAUCUUUUUCAUAAACACCAACAUUAUAAGAGAUAGAUUACACUAAAAAAGAAUUCUUAUAUAUGUGAUAAUAAGGUAGCUCUUUUGUAACCUUGUCAUGCAUGUAAUGUUAUCGAUGCAUGUAGUGAUAGUUAAGGCUCAAUGUUGAAAUUUUCUAUAGGAGUUGUACUCUCUUUUCCUGUGAUUGAUGCUUAUAUUCAUGUUGUCUUUGUAGAUUCAACCGAAGUCUACAACUUCAUGAGUUUCCUUUCAAAGAAUAUUUUCAGAGAUGAAGGCUUACUAGUUGAUCGUUUAUGCUUGUUGAGAAAAUCUUGUUAUAUGUAUUCUUAUGCUCUUUACAAUGAUUUUGAUUAAGGACUAGAAUUAUGUACUAGUAAAUUGUAGAAACUUGAUUAGAAAUGUAUGAAUAUUACAAAGUGUAUUAUAGCUUAUAUAUGUCGUCAAUAGCGAAACAAUGCCAUUUAAAUUUUCAGAAAAACUGUCAUGAUUGCACUAUAUUUGACUGGAAAUAAUUAUCGUCAAUAUUAAAACAAUGACAUUUUUAUAAGAAAAACUGUCACGAUUGCCCUAUAUUUGACAGGAAAAAAAAUGUCGUCAAUAGCAAAACAAUGACAUUUAAUUUCUAAAAAAAAACUGUCACAAUUGACAUAUUCUUGACAUUUAAAAAAUGUCAUAAUAAACGAAUUUGCGACAUUUUUAAAUUGUUGUUAAUACGCAAAUGAUGACAGUUACUUGUUGUCAUAAUAUAAAAUAUGACAGUUAUUUGUUGUCAUAAAAUAGUAAUUAACGACAUUUAUUUUCUGUCAUUAAAAAACUUAUUGCCAUAGUUUUAGAAAACUGUCCUGGAAUGACUUUCCAUGACUCCGCUUUUAUGACUGUAAAUAACUGUCACGAAUUUUAAUCGUGACAGAAAAUAACUGUCGUCGUAGACCACUUUUCUUGUAGUGGAUAUAUAAGAAAUUAAGAGGUAAUUGACGUUGACUACAAAACAUAAAAAAUACUAAUUAACAGCCACAUAAUCGAAGGGAAGCAAGAAUAGUAGAACCAUCUGUUAUGUUAUAGUCUGAUAGACUUAGACUUCUUCCAUCUUCAAGCAUCUUUCCAGCAUAAAUGAAUCUGAUAUUGCUUGGAAGAUAUCCUUCCUUUUCAUAGAGUUUAACUUUCAAUCCGUCAGUUCUGAUGAAAAUGGAAACCUUGAUUGCUAUUGUAUUGCCGUUCGUUAAUUUCACGAAGAUUUCAGUUGGCUCUGGCCAAAGCUUUCUCCUCAACCACCUGCUUCGUAAGUUUGCAUUCAUAGCAAUAAACAUUUCGGCAUUCUUUCCCUUCUCAAGAAAAUCAAAGACUUCAAAAAGAAGGUCUUCGUCAGAUGCCGGAUAAUGCUUGCACAGCUUCAAUGGCUGCUAAUAUAGUUGGCAUAUCGACAUUAUUGUUCGAUGAAGUAUAUUGAUCAGUUGCCAUGACUUAAUCUUCUUCUUCAAUUCCACUUUUUAGUAUUCUUUUAUUUGUUUAAAAUUUAUGAGAGAGGAAGGGUUAGGAAAGAGGAUGUAAGAGAUAUGAUAUAUAAAGAGGAAAGAGAGAGUGGGAAGAUGAGGGGUCAAAGAAAUGGGAAGAAGUGUCUUGAUGCAUGGCGUUAAACAACAUUCAAUAAGCACUGUUUUUAAUUUUUUUUUUGAAGUAAUAUCAAUAUUAAGAAGUCCAUGAGUCUUUAGUACUUGACUUCUCUCUUCCCUUGGGUUUCUUUUGAUUAAGUCCAUUAUAUUAAUUGAAAUAAUUCACAAAUUUCAAGUUAAGUAGAUUAUUUUUUAUAAGAAUUUGAAAAAAAAGGAAUUCUUAUAUGUAAUUACAAUUUUUGAAACUAGGGUUCACGGACUCAAAACUAGUUUGAAUGCAAUAUUUUCACUGAGUGUAAUUAGUAAAUAUUUGACAUGAUACAAAGUCAUUCAAAAAUAGUGCCUUAGGCCAUGUUUCAAGUUAAUUUAUAACAAAUAUGAGAUUUUUUAAUAUUUUAAUUUAAAUGUCAUUGAAUUUUUUUUUAAAAGUUCUUCAAAUGAAAAUAAAAAUUGGACAUUUUUAAAAAUAGUAAAAUAAAUUAAAAUAUUUACAAGAUAUAACAAAAUUUUGGAUUGUAUCUCUAUAAUAUAUCAAUUCUCAUCGUGAUAGAAUUUAGGUUAUAAAUAUUUUGUAAAAUUUAAUACUUUCAAAAAAUUUCCUUUAUUUAAUUUAAUUUAAAUAAUUAAUAAUUAUGUAUAUUGGUGUGUUUUAAAAUUUAAUUAUAUGUCAAACAUAUUCAAAUCUUUAUGCUUUUGCCAUUUAUUUUCUUCAAGUUUUAGUGUGGAGGGGAUUCAUAUUUUUCAUAUACAAAAAAUGAUAAAACAAAUAUGAAAAAUAAAAGUUAUAACGUGUUUAUUUAUUUUUAUUCUUUGAAUCAAAAUGUACCAUUUUUUAAUUUUUAUUUGCGUAAUAAAAGAAAUUCUUUUUAUUUACAUAUAUAAAGAAAUUCUAUAUUUAUUCGCUUAAAACAAUAAGAAAUUACACUACCUAUUUUGAUUAAAAAAAUCUUAUUUAAUACAUAAAAUUAUAAACAAAUUUUUAAUCUUUUUUAGUUAAACCAACUUAAACUAUUUCAACGAAUAAUUUAUUUGACUUGUUAUCCAAAAAAUUAUAGUAAUAAUUUUAAAAUGGAAAUGAAAGUAUUAAACUAAAAUAAAUAAAUAAAAUCUCAAUUUACUCUACAUGUUAAGCCCAUGGUUUUACAUCAUGAGCCAAACAUGUGCUUGGCAUUAAAUGCCAAACCCACGUGAUGCCAUGCCAAGGGGUCAAACACCCUCUGAGAGGGUGAGACCCUAUGUUUAAGUCACAUAGAUAUCAUUUAAGUAAACACUCAACUACUUAUCAUAAAGUCGAAAAUGAGUGAAUUUCAUCUUUGUGUGAUUACGUUUGCAGUUUCCCACUCAGUCGUGUCUCCAAAAUGAUAAGCACAUUGAGUUGGCAAACUGGUCACUCUCAUUUGUACAAAUCAAAGGAUAAUCUCUGGCAAACAAGAGUUCAUAAUACACUUAAUAUUAAGACAAAUUUACCUAGGUCAUUCUAAUGAAAUAGAAACUUAACAAGUUAAGAAAGUUACAUCUAAUGGUUACUAUUUAAUGGUACAGUCUUAUGCAAACACAUUUCAUAGAAUACCUUCACUCGCAUGUCACCUACAUAAAUGUUUUGGAUUAUUACAUUUGUAUCAAAUACAAAGUGAGUCGUAUCCAUAGUAAACGGUUAAAUUUCAGAUCAACUUGAAGAAUAAUAGAUCUUAAAGUGGCAUUAUAAAUAAAAAUGGUAAAAUCAUUUCUUUAAUAAUUAUGGAAGUACAUACAAAAUAUAAUACUCAAAAUUCUAUAAAAAGAUGUCUCCAAGACCCAAACAAUAAAAAAGAAUAACAGUAAUUAUGUUGUAAUGAAAAGAUAGGAGAAUUGUUGGGAAUCACCCAUCCAAAUUUUCACUUUACAAAAUUAGCAUUUCCUUUAGAAAAAAAGCUAGUUAAAAUAAUUUUUUCUAUAGAUGCAUCCGAACCCAAGAUCAACCCUCAAAUUUAGUUUAAAAGUUUACUUUUUCUAACUUAUCGAUUGUUUUAGAUCUUCUCAAUACAUUUUGUCAAUACUCUCAUUCUAAAUGUUAGUACGAACCAACAUUUGUUAUGUAAUAUCUUUUAUAUUUUUCAAAAUAUAAAAAUGAUACAAUAAUCAUCCUGAAUUACUUUUGGUAGUUGGAAGACCUAGAUUGGAAUUGAAGAAAUUCAUACCAUUAUGAAAAAGUAUUUACGCUAAAGAUUUUAAGAAUUACAUAAUACAUAGUUUGGAUAUAACAUUUAAAAAGUUGUAUGUUAUUGUGAUUUUGCUGCUAAGAGUAUUAUGUGCAUUCACAACAAAAGGAAGAACAAAUUAUUAUUGGAGAGUAAUAUUAGAAAAUACAAAUGAAAGGUAUCAAUGAGAUAUGGCAUUUACAAAUGACAUGACUUUGUCUUUGUUUGUUAAACUUUAGGUCCAAAAAUUCUUUAAUUUGGCUAACUUUAAUUUUAUAGUUACUAAGUGUUUUUAUUUCCCAUCUUUUAAGAAAGAAAUUUGUUCGAUAAUUUUUGUUUUUUGUUUCUAAUUUCAUAAAUGUUUCUUCGAUGGUAAACAAGACGUUCGACUUAAUUAAUUAAUUUAUUUUUGUUUCUAAUUUCAUAAAUGUUUCUUCUUUCUUCCGAUUUAUUAUUCUCUUCUUCAUAUUAUUAAUUUGUUCAUACUACUACUUCUUCAUAUUUCCACUUCUGGUUUACAAUUUCUUCAUUUCCUCUUCCAGAAUUUCUUUUUCCUUAUUCAUCUCCCAUCUUCUUUUUUCUUUCUUGGUAUAAGAUCUAAAUGAUCUAAAAAUCGUGUACCAAUUUCUAAACGAUCAGUUGUCUAUCACAGAUAAACAGAGAUAAAUCACUAUCACUAAUAGAUCGUUUAGCUUUGGUACAAGAUCAUUUAGGCUAAGUACAAGAUCGUUUAGGCUUGGUACAAGAUCGUUUAGACUUGGUAUAAGGGUACAAGAUCGUUUAAAUUGAAUACAAGAUCGUUUAGAGUAAGUAUAAAAUCGUUAUUUCAUGUGUGUGUGUGACCACUUAAUUGCGAGGUAGUUUUGUUAUUUCAAGUGGUGGACUUUUGGAUUUUUUUUCAAAAAUAAAACAAAAAGCAAAAAUAUUUACACCAUACAAAAUUUUGAACAAGAAAAAAAUCCACAAGCCCACAACGUGAGAUAACAAAAAUAUCCCUGCAAUUAAUUGAUCACACACGUAUGAAAAACGAUUUUAUACCCAGUUUAAACAAUCUUGUAGCAAGUAUAAAUUAUGAUCUUGUACCCAGUCUAACGAUAUCUUGUAUCUAAACAUAAUCUUGUAUCACACCUUAAUGGUCUUGUAUCAUUGUACCUAGUCUAAACGAUCUUGUACGCACUCUAAACAUAACCUUGUACCAAACCUAAAUGAUCUUGUACCCUUGUACCCACUAUAAACGAUCUUAUUCCUUUAUAUCCAAUAUAAAUGAUCUUGUACCCUUGUACCUAAUCUAAACGAUCGUGUACCAAGUCUAAACAUAAUCUUGUACCAAACCUAAACGAUUUUAUACCCUUGUACCCAGCCUAAAUGAUCUUGUACUCUUGUACCCUAGUCUAAACGAUCUUGUACCCAGUCUAAACAAUCUUGUUCCAAAUCGAAACGAUCUUGUACCCUUGUACUCGGCCUAAACGAACUUGUACCCUUGUACCUAGUCUAAACAAUCGUGUACCCAAAUCUAAAUAUAAUCUUGUACUAAACCUAAAUGAUCUUGUACCCUUGUACCCAACCUAAGCAAUCUUGUACCUAGUCUAAACGAUCUGUUACCUAGUCUAGAAAAUCUUGUACAAAACUUAAACGAUCUUGUACCCAUGUGCCUAGUCUAAACGAUCUUGUGCCUAGACUAAACAAUAUCGUACCAAGCCUAAACAAUCUUAUACCCUUGUACCCAACCUAAACGAUCUUGUACCCUUGCACUCAACCUAAAUAAACUUAAUUGUACUCUUGUAUCUAGUAUAAACAAUCUUGUACCCAGUCUACGCGAUCUUAUACUAAAUUUAAACAAUCUUGUACUCAAUUUAAACUAUCUUGUAUUAAAUCUAAACGAUCUAUUAGUAAUAGUGGCCUAUCUCUAUCUAUAUCGGGGAUAGACAACUUAUCGUUUAGAUCUUGUACCAAUAUUAUUUAAAUUUUGUUCCAAGAAGAAAAAAAUAAAAUAAGAGAUGAAGAAGAAGGAAGAAAUUCUCGAACCGAAAAUUUAGAAAUCACGAACAAAAAAAGUAAGAAUAUGAAAAAUGAGAAGAAAUAAUAUGAAGAAAUUAUGAUAAAUAAAUCGCAAAAAAGAAGAAAAAAUGUUAAGUGAAGAAUUAUCCCACAAUAUUUAGAACCAACAAGAGAUAAGUUUGGAAAUUUAUGAAAAAACAAUAGUAGCUUCAUGGACUUUAAUUUUUUGUUACAUGGAUCGUAAAUAUAUUUUGAAUUUUGUUACAUUUAUAUAAAUUAACUUAAAGUGUACUAUCAUCGAAAUUCAAAAACUAAAUGAGGAAACUAAAGAGGUUUCUAAAACUUAUGUACCAAGUUUACAUAUUGACCGAAAUUUAAAAAUAAGAAAGUAUUUUACCCUUUAUAAUCGAUAGAUUUUGUUAUAUUUAACAUUUUCUAAAAUGUUGCUAUUUAUAAAAUUGAUAUUCCAUUAUAAUUAUCCUAAUUCUCACUACAAAAUUUGCAAAUUGAAUCCAUAUAUGGUUGGAAGAAAAUGAUAAGUUCUAAAUGAUGUAGAUAGUAUUGUUUUGAUUUAGAAGUACAUUGGGCGUAUGUAUUUUGUACCACCCAACUAAGGUAACCAACAUAUUAUAGAAAGGUACGUAUUGUUACCACAUUUAAAACACUCCAAUCCUACCAUUAUGGAAGCCAUUUUUACAUUAACACACGCGUCGAGAGAAACAGAAAUAAUCGGCCUCAGUUGAACGCAACAAUUUCCCAACAACAAACAAAACUGGGUUUCACACGUUGGCUUCUCACAACAUUAUAUUUGCUCGAAAACGACCACGUACCCACCCCAAACUAAAUCAAUUAGCCAUUUGCAUUCAAAAUCCUGCUUCCAACUCCAAUCUAAUGACACAUGCUAUUUCCCAUUCAUUUGCAUGCCUAACCCAUACGUGGAACUUCAACCAAAACUGAUCACGAAGCUCCACCAUUACUGUACUUUCACAAGCUUCAAAACCCCACAACAGAUUCCCUCUCUCCACGUUCCCUACAUGCACCCACUCCUCAUCCCCUAUAAAUACAAAUCACAUUCACCACUCACUUAUUCACUCAACUUCUUCAAUACACUCCUCUUUUUACUUCAUACAACUCUUCAACAAUGGCGAGACUCACAAGCAUCAUUGCCCUCUUGGCGUUGGCUUUGGUGAUUGCAGAUGCUCACCGCACCACCAUCACCACCGUCGAAGUGGACGAAGAAAACCCAGGGCGGAUGGAGAGGUGCCGUCAGAUGCGGGCGCGCGAGGAGAUCGGCAGCUGCGGGCAGUACCUGUCGCAGCAGAGCAGGUAUGUUUUGCAGAUGCGUGGAAUCGACAACCAAAGGAGGAGAGGAGGACAGCUCUUCGAUGAGUGCUGCAGUGAGCUCACGAAUGUGGAAGAGGAGUGCAGGUGCGAACUCUUGCAGGAGAUUGCCAUGGAAGAACAGAGAAGAGCACGAGGCCAAGAAAGAACGCAGAUGCUUCAGACAGCUAAGAACUUACCAUCCAUGUGCGGUAUGCGCCCACAACAAUGCUACUUCUAAGCGCUUAAGCUACGCACGCCACCCCAAUAAACAACAGGAGAGCAGUACAUCGUCGUGUGCUUUUUGUCUUUAUGUUAAAAUAAAUAAAAAAGACUAGUAAAUUCAGUCAAUCUCAAUCGCACUAUUUCUCUCUCUGCUACUUAUAUUAAAUAAAAAGAGCUACGGUUUUUGAGUGGAACUUGUUUAUGUAAUGAAUUGAGAAUAAUCAUAAGCCGGAAAGAAGCAGAUAGAACUUAGUAUUAUUUGUAAAUUGAGUUGUAGAACAGAGAAGAUUAGACUAGAAUACAAGCAACAUGAAGAGAAAACAGAGAACAUAAGCAUGUUGAAAUGAUGAGUUUCAAAUACCACCACGAAGACGAAGGACAAGGUGGAGGGUGGACUCCUUUUGAAUGUUGUAAUCGGCCAGUGUACGUCCAUCCUCCAAUUGCUUUCCAGCGAAAAUUAGUCUUUGCUGGUCAGGAGGGAUACCCUCCUUGUCCUGGAUUUUAGCCUUAACGUUAUCAAUGGUGUCUGAGCUCUCAACCUCCAAUGUGAUGGUCUUUCCUGUCAAGGUCUUCACAAAUAUUUGCAUUCCUCCACGAAGACGCAACAACACGCGGAGAUCUGAUUCCGUUUGAAUGUUAUAGUCGGCUAUAGUCUUACUAUCUUCCAAUUGCCUACCAGCUAAAAUUAAUCUCUGUUGGUAUGGUGGGAUGCCCUCUAUAUCUUGAAUCUUAGCCUUUACAUUUUCGAUAGUAUCAGAAUUUUCAACCUCAAGGGUUAGUGUCUUUCUGUGGAGAGUUUUCACAAAGAUUUGCAUCUGUCAUAACCCCAGUCAAACGAAGUCAAUUAACAAUUGAAUAUAGGUCACGUAAUCAAGAUUACUCUGGAAAAACGUUACUCAGGUACCAAAUCAUAUUUCCUACAAUGCAAUCUAAAUCGAAAAUAUCGCCAUCAAAGACGUCUGUCGAAGAACAUAAUUCUAGUAACCAGAUUCAGUGCAUGUAUAAAUAAUCUUGAAGAAAAAAAAAAAUCAUGAUAACCAAAACAUAGUUGUUUUUUUUUUUAAUUUUUAAUUUCUAAAAAAAUUAAUGAUGCGUGGAGGAUUAUCCCCUUGAAAAUUUAGAAAAUAUUACUUUUAUCAUUUGUAGAUACCGUAUUUUGUCCUAUAUUUAUUUAUUAUAAAAGAAAAAAAAAGAAAAAGAAAUUAAAUUUGAAUUUGAAUUUGAAUUUGAAUCUUAAAUUUAUAUUUUAAAAAACAAUAAUAAUAAUAAUAAAUACAUUUAAAAAUAAAUAAUAAAAAUAAAAAUAAAAUGUUUGAUUUUCCUUCCUAUUUUUUCUCAACCAUCCCUUUUUCUUCGUCAUCACUCUCCACUUUCUCCCACUCUAUCACUUUCUCCCACUCUCCCACUUUCUUCCUAUUUCUCUGUAGUCUGCACUCCAUCUCGUGAUCUAAAAAAAACGAUGGAGCUUGCCCUAUAAAAAGGAAAGAGGAAAAAAGAAAAGGGGAUCUUUUUUUCUUAUUAUUGGAGGAUUUAGAAAGAGGGGAAGAGUGAAAGAAGAUCAAAAAGGAAUAACCUUUGGCAUUGAAGGGCAGACCUGCUGGUAAAUUUUUUCUUCUUUUUCCUCUUUUUAUUCUUAUUCUUGUUUAAUGAUUUUUUUUUCUUCUUGUUUGAUAUACUGCUUUUAAUUAUGAACUAUCGUGUUCAUCAUUUUACCAUCAUUUAACAUGUUAAUUUUAUUAUUUGUAUCUUUCUUAAUACUGAGCAUUCUACCUUCCAUUCUAUAUUAAAUUUUUUAUUUUUUAUUUUUAAAUAUUGAACAUUCUGUUCUGUGUUAAUUUCUUUUUAAUUGUUGGGUAUCCAUUCUGUGUAUCCAUUAUGUAUAUCCAUUCUGUGUUAAUUUUUAAAUAUUGAACAUUUUGUUCUGUGUUAAUUUCUUUUUAAUUGUUGGGUAUCCAUUCUGUGUAUCCAUUAUGUAUAUCCAUUCUGUGUUAAUUUUUAAAUAUUGAGCAUUCUGUUAUGUGUUAAUUUUCUUUUAUUACUGGGCAUCCAUUCUGUGUUAAUUUCUUUUUAAUUAAUUAGCAUCAUAUAUUUGUAUUUGGAUACUCAUUCUUCAUUGGCAUCCAUUUUACAGUUUUUGUUAAUUACUUUAUCCAUGUAUCCAUAUGGCAUACUCUGUUAAUAAUUACUGUUAUCCAUAUAUUAUCCAUGUUAAUAAUUAUGCAUGAUAUAAUUAAAUUUUGGCAACAACCAUUUUUCAUUUGGCCUAUUAAUUAAUUAGCAACUUGUAUGUGACAUUUUCACUCCCUCAUUCUAAUUAUUUGCAUGAUGUAUUAAUUAAUCAGUAUGCAUAUGUGGCUAUAAUUAUUUGAUAUUUAUUUUGGUGUGAUUAUUUAUUUCGCAAUAUUAUUUAUUUGCAUAUUGGGCCAAACCUACUUUAGCAUUCAACUGUUAAUUAUUAUUUGAUAUCCAUUUGGCCUCGUUUAAUUAUGCAUUAAUCAAUUAUUUUGCAUCCUGCAUUAAUCAAUUAUUUUGCAUCAUUUUGAAUUAAUUAAUUAUGUUGCAUGUGUUGUAUUAAUUAAUUAUCUUGCAUCCUACAUUAAUAUCUUUUACAUUUUGCAUAUAUUAUCAAUGUAUUUAUUUUAUCUCAGCAUAUUACUUCUAAGUAUUUUUCAAAUUUCAUAAUGUUUUGCCAUUGUUAUUAUUUUUUUUAUAAUAAUGUAAAUUGGAGAAAAAGUAUUGUUUUUUAUGGAUUUUAUAAUUUAAAAUCCAUAAAUACAUGAAAUUUUUCCGUUUGAAAUUUAAUUAAUAGAUUUUUUUUUUUAAAUUAACACAUUUCAUAUUUUAAAUGAGACUGAGUAGUAUUUUCUAUGAAUUUAUUAAUUCUAGAUAUAUGAAAUUUUUCAUUAAACACCUAUGAUAGAGAUUAAAAUAUCAAGUGUUGGUAUCUUAAUAUUCUUAAGGUGAAUAAAAAUAUUUUAAAACAAAAAUAAACUUAAUUUUUCUAAUGGCUCCUAUGCCACUCAUAAUCAUCAAUUCAUGCUUAGGUUUUACUUUCUUCGAUAUGAAUUGAUAAACAUGGGACAUUUAAACAAAACCUAAAUAAAAAUUUUAUUUUGUGAACCUCUAUAAUUUAAUUUAAAAGAUAAAAUUGGGUAACCAUUUUUUGGGUGUUGUAGGGUGCUAACACCUUCCCUACACACAACUGACUCCCGAACUUAAAUCUCUGAAUGUACGCAGACCAUUUUUUUUUUUUUUUUUGGGUGACCAAUCACACCCUAAUAUGGUUGGUGGCGACUCCAAAACUAUUUAUUAAAAUUAAAUAAACGGGGAGGUCGGCCGCUCCGCGUAGCGAUCACGUCGCGACAGCUUGGCGACUCCACUGGGGACAUUGCAAUGUGUAAGAGAGUCAAGCCAGUACAUUUUUAUCUUUUAUUCUUAUUAUAUUAUAAUAUGUUGGUUCACUUAAUUAUUUUUUUUUUUAUUGAUUCAUAUGUAAUAUUUUGUACUAUGUUAUUGGUACAUUUUUUUUCCAACAUGCAUUUACACACACUCACAAGCCCUCUACCCGGGCUACAACCUUAUAGGACUAGAAUUGAGGAUGGAGUAGUGUUGACCUUCGAGGGGUUUCGACUCCCGUGUAGGCACAUGAAAAAUCCUCGCUCAGAUUAAUUCUUUUGUUAUUUCUUAAAUAACAUUAGAAUAAGUUUGAAGACCUUUAAUUUCUAAGAGUUUAGAUGAUACCAACACCAUGUCAGUUUCUUUUUGACAUAUUUUAUCCAAAAGUCAAAUAUUCAAAUUAUUUUUAUUUAUUUAUUUUAACAAAGUUUCACAUUUUCCUAAAAUUUUAAAUAAUACAUAUUUCAUUUAAAAAAAAGAAUUUCAAUAACAGUAUUUUCUAUAUUAUUAUUAUUUUGAGUUUGAUAUUUAAAUUUUAUUUAUCUUAGUUCCCUAGAAAUUGGGUCAUUUGGCUUCAUGCAAUACUUUAAAGAAAGUAAUGUUUACAUUGUAGAGGUACAUGAAAACCUUUAUAUAUUCUAAAAUUAACUAAAUAUUAAAAAACAAUUAAGCUAAAGUACAUAAAAUUCUUAUUUCUUUUCUUUUCAUGUUUUUUCUUUUUUUUUUUUUUUGAUUUUUGAUUUUUGAUUUUUGAUUUUUAAUUUUUAAUUUUUUAAUUUUUAAUUUUUAAUUUUUAAUUUUUUAAUUUUUUUUCUUUCUCUUUCUUCCCUUGCUCUUUAGUCUUCAAAGUUUUCAAAAUAAUCAAAGUAAAACAUAGCUCACCCUACUCCAAUUCAUCAUCCUUACAAUACGAUGCAUAAAAGUCGAAUCGAAGAAGAACAAGAUAAAGACAUGGAUAAAAUGAGACAAGAUAUUAAUAGUCUUGGGGAACAAGUUUCAAAAAUACUGGAAUUGCUUUCAAUAGGAAAAGGAAAAGUCGUCAUAGAAACAGCACAAUCAAGCAAUCCAAUUCAAGACACCAAUGAUCCCAUUUAUCCCCCAAGAUUUAUGUCACGCCACAUGAACGUUACACAGUCUCAAACUGCUCGACACUAUGUUGCUAUGAAUCCACUUUUUGAUGUUCCACCUCCUGUCCCAGAUAUAGAACAAUUGGAAGCUCAGGCUAAAAUUCAAGACAUAAGGCAAAAUGAGAACACUUCGGCUAAGCAAAAACUAGAUGUUUUGGAAGAAAGAUUGCGAGCAAUUGAAGGGACUGAUGUUUAUGGAAAUAUAGAAGCAACACAGUUGUGCUUAGUGCCAGACUUGAUCAUUCCAGCAAAGUUUAAAGUUCUCGAAUUUGACAAAUAUGAUGGAUCAUCGUGUCCAAGGAGUCAUCUUAUAAGGUAUUGUAGAAAGAUGACAAUGCAUAUUGGUAAUGAUAAAUUGUUGAUCCAUUGCUUUCAGGACAGUUUGACUGGUCCAGCUACUCGAUGGUAUAUUCAAUUAGAUAAUACACACAUUCAUGUUUGGAAGGAUUUAGCUGAUGCAUUUCUAAAGCAAUAUAAACAUAAUAUUGAUAUGGCUCCAGAUCGUUUAGACUUGCAACGUAUGAAGAAGAAGAAUUCAAAAAACUUUAAAGAAUAUGCUCAACGAUGGAGAGAUAUGGUCGCGGAGGUUCAACCACCAUUAACAGACAAAGAAAUGACGUCUAUGUAUAUGAAUACUUUGCGGGCUCCAUUCUAUGAUCGAAUGAUUGGUAAUGCUACAACCAAUUUUUGUGACAUUAUUGUUAUUGGUGAAAGAAUUGAAUAUGCGAUAAAGCACGGGAGAUUAGCAGAGGCUUCAGCUGAGUAUGAGGGAUUAAAGAAAGGAACAACAUCUAAGAAGAAAGAAGAUAAGGUUCAUGCAUUUGGUUUUCCUAAUUUAGGGAACCACAAAUCAACUUUUGGCCAAAGAAAACAUGACCAAAGUUUUCCUUCAUAUAUAAGCAAUGUUUCUCAUGUCCCACAUAACAACUAUGUACCAACUCACUCUUUCUCUAGAGCCCAAAAGCCUAUUAAUUCAAACUCUUCUCAACCAUUUGUACAAGGUCAAAGUAGCGAGACCAACUCAGAUACAUGACAAUUUGAUCCAAUUUCCAUGACAUAUACAGAACUUUUACCUCAUCUAAUUCAAAAUCGACAGUUAGCUCCUAUCCCAAUGAAUCCUAUACAAUCUCCUUAUCCAAAAUGAUAUGAUUCAAAUGCUCGAUGUGAUUAUUAUGCCGAAGGAGCAGGACACUCAAUUGAAAAUUGUUUGGCUUUAAAAAGGAAUGUGCAAUCUUUGAUUAAUGAUGGAUGGUUAAGCUUCAAAAAAGUUGGUGAGAAGCCGGAUGUCAACAACAAUCCACUGCCUAAUCAUGAAAAUCCAAAAGUGAACAUUGUAGAUUGCUUUGUUUCAAAAGUGCAAAAAUGAAGGAGAAACAGUUUAUGCAUGUCCACCUGAUUUCGAGCUUAAUACUUGGGAUGUUGUAGAUAUACCUACAUUUUCAAAAGAAUUUCAAGAGUAAUGAUUAAGCUUUUAUUUGUCAAAUUCCUUUUAUUUUAUAGUGGCUCUACACAAGGCCACAAUGUUUUAUUUGCUUUACAAUAUGAAUGUACUGUUUUAUUUGUUAUUUAAUGAAAUCUUCGCAUUUUCCUUUCGUUCUUUCCAACUUCUUCUCUCUGCUUUCUUUCUUGCAUCUUGCAAAUUAAACACAAAAGUCCAAACUUUUUCAUAGACAACAUUCAUAAGAACGAAGAUGUUAGUAAUUCCAGUUCUACCCUUGAUACCUUAAUAUACACUAUGGAAUCUGACAAAGAGAGUGACGAUGAAAAUGCUGGGAGAAUAUCCUCAGAACUGUUAAGAUUAGUAGAAGAAGAAGAUAAGGUCUUAGGUCCUCACCAAGAGCUAGUUGAAGUAAUCAAUUUGGGUUCUCAGGAGGAAUUAAAAGAGGUAAAAAUUGGCACAUCAAUGACCAGUGAAACUCGAAAAAAAAUCAAUUUGUUACGUGAGUACUCAGAUAUUUUGCUUGGAGUUAUCAGGAUAUGCCGGGGUUAAAUACGGAUAUUGUAGUACAUCGUGUUCCUUUGAAGCCAGAAUGCAACCUAGUAAGACAAAAGCUACGUAAAAUGAAGCUUGAUAUAUUGUUUAAAAUAAAAUGGGAAGUACUUAAACAAUUCGAAACAGUGUUCCUCACAGUCUCCAAAUAUCCUGAACGAGUGGAAAACAUUGUUCCAGUAUCCAAAAAGCAAACAAAAAGACAGAAAAGUGAGAAUGUGUAUGGAUAGAGAUUUAAAUCGAGCUUGUCCAAAGACAACUUCCAUUUACCUCAUAUCGACAUGUUGGUGGAUAACACUGCAGGAUACUCAACUUUCUCCUUCAUGGAUGGUUUUUCAGAAUAUAAUCAAAUUAAAAUGACUGAAGAAGAUAAAAAAAAAAAAACAACAUUCAUUACCUGUUGGAGAACAUUCUGCUACAAAGUAAUGCCUUUUGGUUCAAAAAAAUGCUGGGGCAAAUAUCAGUGAGCAAUGGUUACACUUUUUCAUGAUAUGAUGCAUAAGGAAAUAGAGGUGUAUGUUGAUGAUAUGAUUGCAAAAUCCAAAGCAAAUGAAGAUCAUACAACUAUACUCCAAAAAUUAUUUAAUUGGUUGAGAAAGUAUCAAUUGAAAUUAAAUCCAUCCAAAUGUACAUUUGGGGCAACCUCGGGAAAACUGUUCGGAUUCAUUGUCGGUGAAGAAGGGAUCAAAGUAGACCCAGAUAAAGUGAAGUCUAUCAUGGACAUGCCAUCCCCUGAAACAGAAAAAGAAGUUCGAGAUUUUCUUGAAAGACUAAAUUACAUAUCCAGAUUUAUCUCGCAUUUAACUUCAACCUGCGAACCAAUCUUCAAGCUUUUACGUAAAAACAAUCCAAGAAAAUAGAAUGAGGAUUGUGAAGAAGCUUUCAACAAAAUUAAGCAGUAUUUGCAGAGCCCACCUGUAUUAUAAUAAGCCAUGGUAUUUUGAUAUCAAGCAAUACAUAAAUUGUAGAGAAAUAUGGAGCUUCAGAGAAUGACAAGCGCACAAUAAGAAGGUUGGCCAUGAACUUUUUCUUAAGUGGUAAAGUUCUUUAUAAAAGAAACCAUGAUAUGGUACUCCUUCGAUGUGUUGAUGUGGAAGAAGCAAAACAAAUUAUGACAGAAAUUCAUGAAGGAAUAUGUGGAACACAUGCGAACGGACAUAUUAUGCCUAGACAAAUACUUAGAUCUGGUUAUUAUUGGACAACGAUGGAAUCAGACUGUAUAAAAUAUGCAAGAGAAUGUAAAAAGUGUCAAAUUUAUAUGGAUAAGAUUCAUGCAGCAGCAUCUCCAUUGCAUGUCUUGUCAGCACCAUGGUCGUUUUCUUUAUGGGGAAUGGAUGUUAUUGGACCUAUUGAUCCUAAAGCCUCAAAUGAUCAACAUUUUAUUCUUGUGGCGAUUGAUUACUUCACUAAAUGAUUAGAGGCAACAUCUUACUGCAAUGUUACAAAAGGAGUGGUGCUCAAGUUUAUCAAAAAAGAGUUGAUCUGUCGUUAUGGUCUACCAGAGGGUAUUAUUACAGAUAAUACCAAGAACCUUAAUAACAAAUGAUGGACGAACUUUGUGAGAAAUUCAAGAUCAAUCACAGAAAUUCGACUCCAUAUCACCCCAAGAUGAAUGUGGCAGUUGAGGCAGUCAACAAAAAUAUUAAAAGAGUUAUUGAGAAGAUGACAACAACAUACAAAGAUUGACAUGAAAUUUUACCAUUUACACUGCAUGGAUAUCAUACAUCAGUUCGUACUUCAACAGGGGCAACACCAUUUUAUUUGGUUUAUGGUAUAAAAGUUGUCCUACCUUUAGAACUUAAGAUACCUUCAUUGAGAGUUAUCAUGGAAGCUAAGUUAUAUGAAGUUGAAUGUCGUUAUGAGCAGUUGAAUUU